rnacentral:lncRNA from 1 species
UUCAGGAGAUGAGUAGGCAAAAUAACCUCCCGGUCUAAGUACCCUAUCUAACUCAAGGAGAAGUAUCCCAUCCCUUUGAAGCCAAUCAAUCCUACAGCGAGAACAAUGAGCCAGUUCAAAAGAUCUACUUGGGUAAGGGAGUCUCUUGGUCCCUAAAACACCAAGAUAUGCAGGAAUUCCUCUCUCCAAUGCAAACUGGAUCUGAUUUUGAUGAACAUCAUUAGGUGCCAAGGACAUUGCGAUAAUAUCAGAAGACAGCAGGUAUCCUCCAAAACUAGCAACACCACAACCAACAUCAAGGACUGUUCGGAGCCUUCCUCCAUUAUUUAAAAUGUUCUUAGGAAAGUUGAGCAUCUGCCAAUCCAAACUAAAAAUAGUCAGUGUUUUAUCAUGAAAGAAAAAAUUACAGAAUUACUAAAUUUCUACUGACUAAUUCAAUUUUUACCCUGUGAAGGGCCACUGUCUUACAUUAGCCAUUGAAGCGAUGUACUUGCCAGCUCCAUAAUGGAAGUGAGUACCUCCUCCAGGAAAUCCAAUCUUUUCACCUUUGACAACCAUCCACUUUUGGUCAGACUUCUCGGUCGCAAGGUGAGUAUGAGGUAUAUUUGCUUUCCAUACCUCGUCUCGGCUUUUAGGCCACUUGAUUGGGAUCUAUUUACAUAAAAACAGCAGAAAAGCUUCAGACCAUACAAUUCAAGUGAAACUUCUAGUACAACCUUUCCUCGCUCAUUCCAUUUGAUGUAAUGAUUUAAGCAGGAUCUCACCUUAUAUCCAGAAGGAGGUGGAAUCAAACAGUUAUAUCGCCUUUCAGGCACUGGGCAGUGUCUCUCGUAAUGCUCCAUCACAGACAGAUCCAACUUCAACCUUGUUUCGUAGAUUAGGUUUCUGUCUAAGCAAGGAAUCAGUUCUGAAUGUCUGUCAUCACAAACCUUCAUCAUUGAGAACAUACUUAUAUUAGCCUAAAAAAUAGAUAACUCAGAUAAAUUACUCAUAAGUACACUAUGAAGUGAAACAACAUAGUAAAUGUUAGCGAAGGCAACUCACUGGUAUGCUCUUCAAUAUAACACCAUCCUCUUCAUCUUCACCAAGUUUGGGAGGUGAUUCAUCAACAUCUUCAUCCGCACCCAAGUAAGUAGAACGGAAUUUUCUUAUCUUACUGCCAUACUCAAGAGUGGAGGAAUCAUUUUUCUUAGAAUACAAGUAUAGGAGACCACAAAUGAUCACCAGAACAAGAAUUGAGGUGACCAAACGUUUCUUUGGGCUCCCGUCAGCCCUUCCCUUCGACAUUGUUGCAAACCAACAAGAUAAUCCCCCUUCUACUUUGACUUCAACAUGCAGAGUUCAAAACCAAGCUACAAGAUGCCAGCUCCAGUUUCCUCCUAAAGGAAGAUCAGUCGAUGUCUCACUUCAGAAACAGCUUCAAUCACCAAAACAAGAUUAAACUGGUUAGUUCCAUAGAUCACACAUACGAUGCCAGUACAUAAAGAAAAUGAUCCGCGAUACUACGAAUUUAACAUUGAAAUUAACAUAUAAGAUUAAGACCAUUGAACUCAUCACUUCAAGUAAUCCAGGUGAAAGGAAGACAGCCCUUUAACUUACUAAAUCGCAAGAUUCACAACGAAUCAUCCUAAUCCAAUCAAUAUUAUACGAAAAAGAAAAAGUUAUUAGGUUUUGGUUGUAGAUAUCUUAAUGUCAUUAUUUAAAACAGAAAAGGAAAACCAGAAACUAACAGCUAAAAGGUAGUGUUAGAAACUCACAAGCCGACACCAACCAGACCAAAGCAAGUGAAACAAGUACAAGAAAAACAAAAAUUCAAUCCCAGCAAUAAAAAGAGGAAUUCCAAUCUGACCCUGUUCUUUCAAAGAGGAACAAAUCUGGAAAAAAAAAGUACCACUACCUGAUUUGUCUACACACAUUAAAUGUCUGAAAUAAAUGGCAUACAAAAACGAAUGGUACCAGUAGAAAGCAUAAGAGUGAAGAUGGAGGAGGGUAAAAUCAGAAACAAGACCCGCAAAAAAAGAUCAAGCAUUAACAGACGCAAAGCACCGACAGUUGAUUGUUGCCAUAUGUAUAAUAAAUGUGAGACCAACUUCAACAAACAAAAAUUGACAGAGAUUGAUACGACCCAGCUCGUGAAAUCGCAAAAAUCGUCGGCAAUGUUAAUUCCCAAAGCUGAAAACGUUCGAUCUGAAUUUGCCCAGAUGAAAAUUGUAAGAAAAACAGCAAAAAAAUCAGAUCUUUUUUGGAGAGAGACUCGAAGUUGCAGAUGGGCAAUGCAGAAACAGAGUGAGUGAGUGAAAUUGGAGAGUGGGGUUGGAUCUGAAUCGUUAGAUGGGGUCUAUUGUUCAACGAGGAUUGAGCAGAGGACGUACCUGGUUGCGAUGGGUUUUUCUCAGAGGCGAGCGAGAGAGUCAGAGAGAGAGAGAGACGGGGUCCCUAAUUCUUGUGAGCGACCAGUGAAAAGCAUAAAUACGGAAACAAUAUAAUUGAAAAACAGUAUGGGAGGAUUUGACUCUGAUGGAGUGAGAGAGAGAGAGAGUGAGAUCUAUUCGACUAAUAAAAAAAGAGUGAGAUCUACAGAGGUGGGAGAGAGAGAGACAGGGUGACGGUGACGGUGAAAAAACACGCGGAUACAGGUUGUCGUCUGGAGCAUGAUCUAAAAUAUUUAUAUUAUUUCGAAAUUUUUAUCGAGAUUUUCGUGUUUUUAGACUAUCGAUAUUUCCGAUAUCAUCGAUAUUUUAGAUAUUGAUAGGAACUCCAUGUGGUACUAAGUCACUCAUGUAUCUUACCAUGAAAUGUAUAAAGUGUAAAAUAUUGUACUAAUUCAUUAUAUAUAAAUGAUUAUGGUGUGUUUAAAUUUCUUUCAUUAAUUACUACAUAUUUUCUACAUUCAUAAUGUUUGCCAGCUCGCUAUAUAAUCAAUUUAAAUUAGUUAAAUUCAUCAUGCAAUGCAUUUUCUUCCAAUUUUUUGUGAUAAAGUAAUAGAGAAUUGACUAAAUAAACAUCCUGUAAAGUUUCAAUAAAAAUUUCCAAGUUUUUCUUACAAUUUCUGUGGUUUUUAUUCAAUUUUUAUUCAAUUUUUAUCGAUAUCGAUAAUAUCUUGAUAUUUUUAUGUUUUUAGAUUACCGAUAUUUCCGAUAUUAUCGAUAUUUUAGACCUUGAUCUGGAGAGACAAGCACGUGAAUACGCGGCAUUACAUGUCACAUGGGAGAUUUUGGCGCGUGAAAGUGAAAGCCCUUUGCUUUUUUCACUUUUUUUUACAGAUCAUUGGUGAUGAGUGAUGACAAGUGGGAUUGGAAAUGUCCAAUUCUUGGCCAAAAAUGGGGUGUCAGGUGGCAAUAGUCUUAAUUGUGAAAGUCUGACUCUCUAAAUUUAGACAUUUGCCAGGUUGAUCUUAAGGCCAUCUACAAUCGAAGGAGGAUCAGAUAGUUCGUUUUAACUUUUUGAUCUUUCAAGAAAUUAAUAUUUUAAUAAACACUGCAUGAUCGUAUUUCUUACCAUCUCCAAUCGUAAGCCAAAGGAUCAUAGGGCCAAACAUAGUCCUGUAAAAAAAAAAAAUCUCCAACCGAAGGCUAAACAUAGUUUAUUAUUUAAAUUUUAAAACUACAACUUAAAUUAAAAAACUACAAAUUAAAUUAAAAAACUACAACAACUUAAAUUUAUAGGAAAAAAUGAGAAUUUUUUAAUAUUUUUAAAUGAGUACAUGAGGCGCUAUAGGAUAAUACGUUCUCGUGCCACAAACAAGUAUCUACAACAAUAUGUUGUUGCACAUCUUUGGGUCAAAACAAGCAUAGAGUAGGCAUUUAAGUUUUAAGUUGUUAAAUAUUUUUUAAAAAUGUUGUUUAAGUUUCAUGUUGUUAACUAUUUUUUUUUAUGUUGUAUAAUUUUUAUGUUGUUUAAUGUUAUUUAAUGUUGUUUAAUAUUGUUUAAUGUUAUUUCAUGUUACUUAGGGGAGUGUAUUCAAUUGGGAUUUUGAGGGAUUUUAAUUCUUUUAAUGAAUUCAGGGGUAUUCAAUCAGGAUUUUAAGUGAUUCUUUAAAUUUCAAUGUGUAUUCAAUCAUGAUUUUAAUAUAGUUUAUUAAAAUCUUUUGAAAUUCGGAUGCAUUCAAUUAGAAUUUUAAAAAAGUUUAUAGCAUUUCAGGUGUAUUCAAUUAGAAUUAGAAUUUAAAGAAUUUGGAAAAGUUGAGGAACUAGAGGGAAUUAGAGAGAUUUUAUAGUGUAUUUUAAGCAUUUACAAAUCUCCCAUCUCCCUAUGAGAUUUCGAGAGAAUUGAAUCAAAAUUUUACAUGAAAUCUCUACAAAUCAGUUAAACUCCAUAAAAAUCCAUGGAUAUAUAAAUCCAAAAAAAUCUGUCAAAUUCUUGUUUAAUGGUUUAGGAAGUUAUAGGGAAAAAAUAGAAUUUUUAUUUUUAUUUUUUAAAUUUCGUAAAAAUAAAAAAUAAAAAAUAAAAAAAAUUCAAAAAUAACGGCUAGCUGACAUCAGCAUGACGUCAGCUAGUUACCGUUGCAUUCAAAUUGUGGCCUGGCCCGGGCCCGAUUGGCUGGCUAGGUUGAGCUGGCUAGUUCUUUUAGUCCUUUUUUGUCUAGUGGGGCCCACAAGCCCUUUGGCCUAACCCUCCGUUGGAUACGGUUUUCGGGUUAUUUUCGGCUCUCUGAACCCUUCGGUUGAAGAUGGCCUAACGUCGUGACAUGUUUACUUAUUUGUAAUAUGUACCAAAAUUAAUAUGAUUCUUGAUUUUUUUUAAUAUGCGUUUAAUGACACAUGUGUAUUUAAAUUAGUUUAAUUCUUGAUUUCUUUUGCGUUUUGUUACACACAAAAAAUUAAAAUGAGUCACGCAGUAAUUUGUAAUGUAAUAACUGCAAAAGAAAUUAGAAUCAUGAGUCAUGACGUUCUUAUUUACGUUUACGACACUUAAGUAUUCAAAUUAGCCUAAUUAUUGACUUCCCUUGAAGUUUAAGUGUGAUUGUGUAAAUCCUAGAUUAGAUUUGAUUCUAGUUAUUCUUUCCUAUAUGAACUUGUAUUCCUUGGGGAUGAAGGAUUUCUUCUCCCUGUUAUUACUAUAAAUAAAGGCAUUACGUAUGAGGGAAUAACACACACAUUCCCCUACAAUUGUACAAACAUAUCUGUCUCUACAAUCUCUCAUUGCCGCCGACCCCUUCCCUUUAGUCAGAUAAAAUAGGCUACAAUACGUUAUCAGCACGCUCCUACCGCUGCGCUUAGGAAUUUGAUGUGGAAACUCUAUGCAUCAAACCAGUUCAUCCAUAUCAUCACACAAUCAGGUUCUUCCAAAACAACGGUUUUUAUCUUGAUAUUUUUGCAGCCCUGGUAGCAUGAACAUUCACCAUAAUGCAUGACCCAACUCGCGACACCAGCCCGAGGGCUAUGGUGUCCCACAUCCAUACGAUGCACCGGAUCCAGCCUGCAGCUGGAACACCUGAUCAACACCCAGUCUGGGCUUAUGUCUUUGGGCCUGGCCUUCUUGCAACCCGUUUUGCUGCUACCGGGCUUGCAGCCUAACCAUUUCAUUUAGGGCAUGAUCAGCCCGUGUCUAACCCAGCCUAAUUUUUAGGCCUGGGCCGCACGGUACAAAUUUACUCUGCUCACCCGUGGGAUUUGGUCUAAGUUUUUGGGAGUUUAAAUUGCCUAAUUAUUUUUAAGCCCAAUGGAUUUUAUAUUUUUCACCCACACUUUAAAUUUGGCCCGAAGUCCAAAUAAUUAAUUCAACUAUAAUUAUAGACCUAAAGUUCUAUUUGCAUAUUUUCUUAUUUCAUAUUUCAGUCAUUAUUUGCGUUUGUCUACAGGAACAUAUGAACCUGAAGUUCAUAAUUAUUUCAAAACUUGAAGUUUCUAAAAACAUGCCUUGUUUGAAAACCUGAAGUUUUCCUUAAAAACAUCACCCCCGAAGUUUUUCAUGUGAAUUUUAACCAAUACAUGUCUAUUAGAAUGUGAAUGUUAUACUCCUAUGUGAAUGGAUUGAUAUUUUUCUCCAUUGCACUAACCACAUCGUGUCCAUCUAUUUUGUGAUAGGAACAUGUCGAAUUUGAACAAACUCGACUUCACCACUUUGGAGGUCUUUGGAAGGAACUACCUCAAGUGGGUCCAAGAUGUGAAGCUCCACCUCACUGCAAAGAAUUUGCGUCCCGCUAUUGAAAAUGAGACGGACAACCCUGUUGGCGAAGCUAAAAAAGCCACUGCUAUGAUCUUCAUCCAAAGACAUAUUUAUGACGCACUACAAACCGAGUAUCUUGCUGAGGAAGAUCCACGAGCAUUAUAGGUCGCUUUGGCUGAUUGCUUUAAUCACCAAAAGGACACCUUCUUGCUUGAAACAAGACAUGACUGACAUCAUUUGCGCUUCCAAGACUUUAAGUCUGUGAAUGAAUAUAAUUUUGAAAUUUGUCGAAUCCGAUCACUUCUCAAGUUUUGUAACAAAACUUUGACCGAAGAUGAUCUCCUGGAGAAGACCUAUUCGACAUUCUCUGCUACUAAUAUUGUCCUGCCGCAACAAUAUAGAGCUCAUAAGUUCACUAAGUUUUCGGAUUGUUGAUGAAGAAUCAUCAAGCUCGACCUACUGGGGCGACUGUUGUGCCUAAAGCACAUUGUAGUACGAACAAAUGCCAAAUUGUCAAAAGAGGCGUGGUAAGGGCUGCCAGAAGCCACCUCGUCAAGGUCAACAAAUCCAAGGCCCAUCUAAUGGAGGAAACAAAGCCCAUAAGCGCCCUAACCUAGCUCCCAAGGCCCCAAACUUCAAGAAUAAGGGCAAAGCACUUGAAACCAUGGAUGCAGAUAUGUUAUAUCGUUGUGGUUCAAAUAACCAUUGGUCCUGUGUUUACCGAGCUCCCCAGAAGGUUGUAGCUGAAUAUCAUUCUCGUCGUAAGAAGUUUGAAUCAAAUUUUGUGCAAGUGGACAAACCGAAGAGUACAAAGAUGAAGAUUUUUUUAUUUUUAAGAGGUCGUUACCCCUAUGAAAGAUUAGAAUCUUAGACAAACUAUUUUUUUAGUUAAAAUAAGACAAUAGGGCUGAAUUCCACAAUAGUGGCCGAACCUUUUUUUUUUUGUUUUUGGUUAAUUUUGAACAAUUUUCCUUUAUGUUUAGAUUAUCUAUUAGUGAUUUUUUUAAAAAACUUUUAUGCAUGUGACCGAUUCAAAUUAAUUUUCAUUCUAGGUAUGACUAGUGGAAGUUAGUUGUCUGCUAGAUAGUGCAAUCACGCACACCGUUUUACGUGAACGCAUCUAUUCCACUAACUCCAUACCUAAGAAUGCACCUCUGACAACCUUCUCAGGCCCAUCAAACCUGAUCGAAAGAUAUGGUAAGGCACAUAUAAUGUUGUCUAAUGGUACAAUUUUGACCAUUGAUGAUGCACUCUAUUCUCCGCGUUCUAGAAGAACGUUGUUGAGUUUUAAGGACAUUAAAGAUAACAAUUACCACGCUAAAACCCACGUAGAAAACGAAGUUGAAUUUUUGUGCAUAACUUCUUAUGAAUAUGGCCAGAAGCGUAUUUUAGAGAAGAUUGAGCGUAUCUCGAUUGGUUUGUAUACUACAACCAUAUGCCUCAUAGAGUGCCACCAUGUGGCCGGCCCUACCUCUGGGACCACGCAUGAUAUUACAUUUUGGCAAGAUCGUUUGAGACAUUAUGGACGAAUAGCGAUGCGCUGUAUCCUCAAAUCAUCACACGGGCAUCCACUAACCUGAAGUUUAAGUUUGAUUCAAGGAAUCGUAUGUUAAACAUGUUAAAUGGGAAAGCUUAUUACUAAGCCUUCUUAUGACAAGAUUCAUUCGAAUACUCCUAUUUUUUCUACAAAGGAUUCAAGGGGACAUUUGUGGAUCGAUUCACCCUUCAUGCAGACCAUUUAGAUAUUUUAUGGCUUUGGUUGAGGCUUCCACACGUUGGUCACACGUGUGCUUGUUGUCCAUAAGGAACACUGUUGGAAGUAUGCCCACAAAGUCACUCAUUUGAUGUAAUAGCUUUUGGAAUACUUAAUGUAUUAAACUAUUAUAUGUUUAAUGAAGGGCAAAGCUUAUUGUUAAUCACUAUUUAUUGUAUCAUGUGUUUAAGCAAUAAGGGAAUCCAAUGAAUGUAUUUGAUCUAAGAGAGAAGUGAUUUAAGUAAGUUAAAUUAACGAAACCUUUCUCUUAUGUUCAUUCCUAAAACGUUCCUAGCCAUAGGAUUACCAAUUGGGCAUUGACAAUCCGCUAAGGUUAGUAUGUGUUAUGUCAACUCAAGCGUGAGUAUGACUAGUCUCAAGUCAUUUAGUGUUGGACACUAAGACAAACACAUAGGUGCUUGAAAGAGUAAUCAAGUACACUGAACAACGAUCAAAAGAGAGUUCGAACAUACAUGUCAUGUAAGAACUCGUAAGUUGCAAUAUGCAAAGUAGUCCUUUGACCUGAGGCAGCAUAGAUGUCUAAUGGUUAGGUCCUUGAUCUUUGAUCAUGUCAAAGGCAUUCCAUCGAGAGUGUCCACGGAAUUGUUGGGGUCAAGCUAUCUAGUCAUGUAGGCAUAUGAAUGCACAACAAGGGAUCUCUAACCUUCCAUGGUGGAAGGAGAAUACUCUAAGAUAUGAUUCGGGAGUCUUUGGCCAAAGCAUACGAAUAUGACUUAGGAAGUAUGUUCCAAAUCAUAUUCAAUUGAAUCAUAUAGAAAAGUAUUACAUUGGAUAGUAGACAUGAAACAAACUAUCACUCAAACAAUGUGAUUAAGAGUAUUGUAUUAGAGAAUGACCGUAUUGCAUUGUGAUUGUAACUGGAUAGGUUCUCCAACCAAUUCUACUUAGCUUGGGUAGCCAUGACAUGCUGCUAGGUGUCACUUAUGGUUUGUGGAAGCUCUGAAGAUUAGCAAACACUAAUCUUCAACAAAGGGAGAAUUGAAAUGUUGUUUUAAUUCACGAUCGAUCGUUAAGAGUAACAAUCGCCCACUGCCUCGCUAAUUGGAACCUAAUGGAUCGUACACCGAGUAAGGAUGAAAGUGAAGAAAUAUAAAUGAGAUGGAUAAGCAAUUAAAUGGUUUAAUUGAGAAUGGUCAAGAAUAAUUAAUUAGUUAAUUAAUUUUACGAAAGGUUCGUAUUGGGCUUUUAAGUUAGUUUUGCGCUUCGGGGUCCAAAAGGGUUUGGUCCACUAGGCCCAUUAUGUUUAAGUUGUAUGACAACUAAAACAAAUAUGGGCAAAUAGCCCAAUCACUUAAGAUGGCCGGCCAUAGCAAGGGUAGUGGGAAGUUUUGCUUAAUUGCAAGUUUGCCACUCACCUAGGAAAAGAGAUAUAAAAGCUUCUUUAUAGUUUUUACCUCAUUAGGGUUUCCUUGAGGCAAAGAGGUGAAACAUUUUCUCUCUUUUUCUCUACAAGGAGGCCGGCCACAUAGGGAAGAAAUAGCUAGCAAUCUUUUCUUCUCUAAGUCAUCCAUUUCAUCUUCACACCUCAUCCUUGGUGUGGAGACUUAGAGACACCAAACCUUAGUGUUUUUGGAGAUCCUUUCCUCACAUCCUUUAGGAGCAAAGGAGCAUCAAAAGGAAGAAAAUCACAAGGAAGAUCCAAGGAGCUAGGAGGUGACUUGAAGGCCCUCAACUUGGGUGAAUCCCUUGUGUAAACAAGGAUGAGCUUCAAGGGUAAUGAAUCUCUAAAACCUUCCUUCUCUUUAAUGUUGUUAAAAGAGUCUCUUGGUUCACCAUUCACUAGGCUUUGAAAGUUAUGGGUUUUAGAAUUGUUUUUUAAUGCAUGCCUACUUUAAUGUGUUAAUAGUUUGCAUAUGUGUUCAAAUAUUCUCACAUGUUCUUAGCUAGGACAAAAUUUUUCCUUCAAGUGGUAUCAAGAGCCUAGGUCUAGUUUAUGGUGAAUCCUUUUGGGUUUUGUGAUUUUCAUGAUUUGUGAUUUAAAUGUUGUAAAUGUUACAAGCUUUGUUCUUGCUUUUGAAUAUAAAUUUUGCUUGAAAAUUUAGCAUCUCAAAUGUUGUAGAUGUAGUUCAUUUAAGCAUGAAUAUUGGAACUAAAAUUUGGUGCCAUGUAUGUUGGGAAAUUCGGCCAAAUCCAAAGGGUGGAUUUUUUGGUUCAUGUUUGUCUUGUUAAAAGAGUUUUAAAGUGACUUUUGGAACCCCUAAGUACCCUAGGAUGUUAACCCUCUUUUGUGUAGUGAAAAUUUGAGUUUUAUUGUGUGAAAACAUUCAUGGAGCUCUUAUGAGUUUUCAUGUGUGUUCUUCAAUGUUCUUGAGUUUCUUACCAAGAACAAAAGAGUUUGGAGUUUUGGUUCAAAAUGUUUGGUGUUUUUCAUAAAGUUUUAGUUUAUAAUUAAUUGGUGAUGGAUGAUUUAUGUCUUUAAUGUUAGACAAAACAUUUUCUUACAACCCAUCCCAAUCAACUUUUUCCUCACCUACCUAUCCACUUGCACAAAACUUUUUCAAAUUUUGAAUUUUUCACCAAAACCUUUCCCCCCCUCCUUUUUCACUACCAAAACCGGCCACCCCUUAGUGGGGGUACUUUUAGGGCCUUUUAUGCAAUUAUAUAAAGUUUUGAUACUUUUGUGUAUUUGUACUUUGGCCCAAAAGUUUACGUUUUUACGUUAAGGCCCAAAAACGCUAAAGGACAAAUUGUUUUUCUCCUUUAAUGAAGUUUUUACUAUUGUUGAAAUUUUUGGGUUCUAGUUGUAAUUACAUGAAGUUGUGGACUCUUGUGUUUUUACAAAGUGACCCCAAAAGUUUAUGUUUUAACCUUAUGGCCCAAUUGUUGAGGUCAUUGUUUUUCGGCCCAAAUAAGAUGAGAACAAAAUGGUUUUGUCUCUUUAACGAGAAUUGGAUUUUCAUUUCAUUUAGUUCCAUUUAAAUCAAUUCUAUGAAUACGAAAACCAAUUGUUUAAGUUGCUUUCUUAGUUAAUUUGAUUGAUUAAGAAAAGGGUGAUUAUGAACCAAAGGCCUCGAUAAUUGAGCUAUGUGAUUGGCCACUUUACAUUAUGAAUGUUUGGGUUAAGUAGUUUAGAUUUGAAUGUAAUUUGAUUAGUUCAAAUUUGUUGUAAAAGGGCAUAAGUCCUUCUAAUGUGUUGUAAAAGGGCAUAAGCCCUUCUCUUUAUUUCAUGUAUUCCUUUUUGUUUAUAUGUAUGCAAAUUGGAAUAGUUGGGUCCAAAACCCAAUAGGAAAUAACGGUUUAAUUAGAUUAAACGCGUAACUAAAAUCAACAACUAUCUACCUUAAACCCAAGGUCCAACACAAGGCUCGUGUUGGAUCAAAUCAAACGGUUCAUAAUCAUCCUAAGACCUAAUAUGACCAUAUAAUCCAUAUGAUGAUGCAAUGCAUUCGUUAGUAGUUCCAUAUAGUCUCACUUGUUUCAUCGAAAUAGUGGGAGUAUUAUAUACUACUAAUUCAUAUUAACUUGGACCAAUGGUUGUGAUAGGCCCAAGUUCUUUUAAUAAAAUUAAAAUAAAAUUGAUGUAGCCCAACACUACUCCCUCAACAAAACGAAUAUUAAGUUGAUAAGCGAGAGAUGCUUUGAACAUCUCUUCGUAGGCCUUCCACCAUGAUGGGCUCCAAUCGUUUGUGACUCCUACACCGGCUUCACCCUAUCAUGGGGAAGUUCAAAGUAUGUGCUUACAUUCAGGAAAGGUCCAUAUAAACAUACAUGAUGUGGUGAGGUAGGCAAUGAGGAUGGCCGACAUCAUAUCAUUGUGAGGUUAUUCUUGAACCCUUACACAAACUAGCAUGGUGGGAAUAACUUAACUAAGUGCAAUGGUGCCAACAUCAUAUCAUUGUGAGGCAUCAUUCUCUAGAGGCCAAACUAGAUGGGUAAUUACAACAGUUGUAAUGAUUAAAGCGUUAUUCUCUCAUCAUUAUUUUUGCUAACUAACAUCGUAUCAUCGUGAGGUGGGCUUGGUAAUGGUGAGCCUCCCAUACCCCGCUAAGAGUUCAACAUAACUCUCGAAUUCCAUUGAGGGAUGUGGAAUUUGCCAAAAAUAGUGGGUGGUACUAUUUGAUUUAAGACCCAAUCAAGUAGUUUUAAAAUCAACAAUCUAAUACGAUUUAUGUUAUGUUAUGUAGUUAAUGACAUGCCUAAAAUUACACCCACCAUUAUACUUGACAAAGGGCCUUAGGGGCCAACGUUUCCUUGCUUGGUAUCGCCACAUUGAGAAUGUCUCAAAGGUGAAAGACAUAUUGUAUGUGCUUAAGCAAUCCUCUCCUCAUGUACCUCCUACGAAACUAGCUUCAAAGGAGGAGUGUCAAAAUUAUGCAAGACACUAUGAGGAUGACUUACAAGCCAAAUGCUUAAUCCUCACUUCACUUAGUGAGGAGCUUAAGAAGCUACAUGAGCACAUGAACACUUCUUGUGCCAUGGUUGAUAGUUUGCAUAAGAUACAUGACAUUGAGACUAGUAACAUACGAUUCUCAAAUGUUUGUAAUCUAUUGAAUGCCAAAAUGGCAAAGGGGGCAUCGGUCCAAAAACAUGGACAAAAGAUGGAAAGGAUCUUUCAAGAUCUUGAAAGUUUAGGAACUUCCAUCGAUGGGAAAAUGGCCCAAGACUUUUUCCUUGCAUAUCUCUCGGAUGAUUUCACUAAGUUUAUUGUAAACCAUAAAGUGAAUAGAUUCAAUCAUACUUUUACCGAGAUGAUUGACAUGUGCUGUAAGUUUGAACAAGGUUUCAAAAAGGACAGUGGGAGUGAGAAUGCAAUCACAAGGAAAAGGUUGCAUAAGAAGAAGGCAAGAAAAUCCAAAGGAACAUGUUUUCAUUGUGGAAAGGAUGAAUGUUGGAAGAAGAAAUACAGGGUGCGCAUUGCAAGCCUUAUGACACGAACUUUUGAAGGGACUAUUUCUGUCAUAGAGAGUGCUUUUACAAUGAGCUCCAAUUCCUGGAUAUUUGAUUCAGGCGCUAGUCAACAUAUCUGCAAUUCGUUGCAUGGACUUACAGGGAGCAGGACAUUGCGCAAUAGGGAGAUGAUUGUGCGAGUUGGGAACGGCACUAAGAUCUCUGCAAAAGCAAUAAGCACCUGCAAGCUUAAACUACCAUCUGGGGAAGUCCUGGAACUUAAAAAUUGUUUAUAUUUUCCUUCAUGUAUAAAGAAUUUGAUUUCUAUCUCUAUGCUUUUAUGAGAUGGGCACUCAGUAUUGUUUGACAAAAUGAGUUGCACUUUAUACUUGAACGGUCGUAUUAUCUCUCAUGGUAAUAUGAUAGAGGGACUUUUUCACCUAGAGACAAGUAGUGGAAUGCACUGUAUUGAAAGCGGAAAUACCUCAAAACCCAAAAGGGCUAGAGAAGAAGUUAACCAAGAAAAGAUGUGGCAUCUUAAACUUGGACAUGUGAACCUUGAUAAGAUUCGCAAGAUGUCGAAAGACGGAUAUUUCCGCCCAUUAGGUAAUGACCAAAUGGGUACUUGUGAAUGUUGCUUAAAAGGGAAGAUGACCAAAUAUCCAUUCAUUGGGAAAGGAGAGCGUGCCACUGAAAUUCUAGGGUUAAUCCACACUGACGUAUGUGGACCUAUGUCUACUAUGUCGAGAGGAGGCUUCUCCUACUAUAUCACAUUCACCGACGAUCACUCUCGGUUUGGCUAUGUGUAUCUUAUGAAGUACAAGUCAGAAUCCUUUGAAAGGUUCAAAGAAUUCAAUAAUGAAGUUGAGAAGCAAACUGGGAAACAGAUAAAGAUCCUAAGAUCAGAUCGAGGGGGAGAGUAUCUAAGUAACGAGUUCCUAGAUUAUCUCAAAGAGUGUGGAAUAAUAUCACAGUGGACUCCACCGGGAACUUCACAACUUAAUGGAGUUUCUGAAAGGAGAAAUCGAACCUUGAUGAACAUGGUUCGUUCUAUGAUGAGUUCCGCCGAUCUACCAGUAACAUUCUAGGGAUAUGCUCUAUAUACAACAGCUUACUUGCUUAAUAGAGUACCUUCCAAGUUAGUUUCACAAACGCCCUAUGAGAUAUGGCAUGGAAGAAAGCCAAGGCUUAAUCACAUUAAGAUUUGGGGUUGUGAAGCAUAUGUCAAGAAGCUUGAAGCGAGAUCAGUUAAGUACUAUUUUGUGGGAUAUCCUAGAGAAACUAUGGGAUAUGAGUUCUACCAUCUUGACGACCAAAAAGUUUUUGUCGCCAGAACUGCUAAGUUUCUAGAGGACGAAUUUGUUCUCAAAUGAACUAUAAGUAAAACGAUGGAAAUUAAUGAGAUUAAUGAUGAACCACAAACAAGCACUCGACAAGUUGACAACCCUGUUCCUGAACCCCUAGCUUCACGUAGAUCUGAAAAGGUUAGCAAGCCACCUAAGAGGUAUGGCUUAGAUAAUGACUUUGGGGAAUUGCACCUUCUAGGUGACAAUGACACAAAUGAAGACCCUAGAGACUACACUGAAGCAAUGUCCGAUUGAUUCAAAGAGAUGGCAAGAGGCCAUGAAAUCCGAGAUGGAUUCCAUAUAUCAAAAUCAGGUCUGGACUCUUGUAGACCCUCCAGAAGGUAUAGUACCUGUUGGAAACAAAUGGGUCUUCAAGAGGAAGAUAGGCGUUGAAGGGAACGUGGAGACUUAUAAGGCUAGACUCGUAGCUAAGGGUUACAGGGAACGAGAAGGGAUUAACUAUGAAGAAACCUUCUCUCCUGUAGCCAUGAUUAAGUCUAUUCGGAUUUUGCUUGCUAUAGUUGCGUACCAUGAUUAUGAGAUAUGGCAAAUGGACGUGAAGACGGCCUUUCUGAACGGCUACCUAGAGGAAGAGCUCUCUAUAUGACUCAACCCAAAGGUUUCGUGCCUAAGUCUGAAAAGACUAAGGUAUGCAAGCUUCAGAGGUCCAUUUAUGGACUUAAGCAAGCCUCCAGGAGUUGGAACAUUCGUUUCGAUACUAAAAUCAAAACGUUUGGUUUUACUAAAAAAGAAGACGACAAUUGUGUUUAUCAAAAAGUCGUUGGGGAUGCAGUAAUAUUCCUGGUGUUAUAUGUAGAUGACAUAUUACUAUUCGGGAAUGACACUGCAAUACUUUCUUCUGUAAAAGUGUGGUUGUCCAAAACCUUCCACAUGAAAGAUUUGGGAGAUGCAUCUUAUGUACUUGGGAUAAAGCUCUAUCGUGAUAGAUCCAGAAAAUUAAUUGGAUUAUCUCAAUCUAUGUACAUAGAUAAGGUGCUAAGUAGGUUCCAGAUGGAACAAUCUAAGAAAGGUCUUCUUCAUGUGAGACAUGAAAUUCACCUUUCUAAGUCCAUGGAAUCUAAGACUCCUGAAGAGAUACGGUAGAUGAGUGCUAUUCCUUAUGCUUCCGCCAUAGGAAGUCUCAUGUAUGCCAUGAUAUGCAUAAGGCCUGAUAUCGCAUAUGUUGUGAGCAUUACUAGUCGAUAUCAAUCAAACCCAGGAUCAGAACACUGGGCAGCUGUCAAGACGGUUCUUAAGUACUUAAGAAGAACUAAGGACAUGUUCCUCGUUUAUGGAGGAGCGACAGAGUUGCGAGUGGAAGCCUAUACAGAAGCAGAUUUCCAAUCUGACGUCGAUGAUAUAAGUUCCAACUCCGGAUAUGUAUUCACUCUGAAUGGUGGGGCUGUUAGCUGGAAAAGCAAGAAACAAGAUGUAAUUGCUGAUUCCACGACGGAGGCAGAAUAUGUCGCUGCAGCUGAAGCCGGCAAAGAAGCGUUCUGGAUGAAGAAGUUCAUUACUGAACUUGGAGUGGUUCCAACCAUUACAUCACCAGUAACUUUGUACUGUGAUAAUAGUGGGCGAUAGCUUAAGCCAAAUAACCCAGGGCUCAUCAAAAGAACAAGCAUUUUAACAAACGCUUUAAUAUCAUUAGAAGAUAUGCUGCCGAGGGGAAAGUCAACAUCCUCAAAGUUGCCUCAGCAGAUAACGUAGCAGAUCCACUGACAAAGCCAAUGUCUCAAAUCCAACUUGACGGCUAUAUGGAAAAGAUGGGUAUUAGAUACAUGGGAAGGUGGCUUUGAGUGCAAGUGGGAGAUUGUUGGAAGUAUGCCCACAAAGCCACUCAUUUGAUGUAAUAGCUUUUGAAAUACUUAAUGUAUUAAACUAUUAUAUGUUUAAUGAAGGGCAAAGCUUAUUGUUAAUCACUAUUUAUUGUAUCAUGUGUUUAAGCAAUAAAGGAAUCCAAGGAAUGUAUUUGAUCUAAGAGAGAAGUGAUUUAAGUAAGUUAAAUUAACGAGACCUUUCUCUUAUAUUCAUUCCUAAAACGUUCCUAACCAUAGGAUUGCCAAUUGGGCAUUGACAAUCCGCUAAGUUUAGUAUGUUUUAUGUCUACUCAAGCGUGAGUAUGACUAGUCUCAAGUCAUUUAGUGUUGGACACUAAGACAAACACAUAGGUGCUUGAAAGAGUAAUCAAGUACACUGAACAACGAUCAAAAGAGAGUUCGAACAUACAUGUCAUGUAAGAACUCGUAAGUUGCAAUAUGCAAAGUAGUCAUUUGACCUGAGGCAUCAUAGAUGUCUAAUGGUUAGGUCCUUGAUCUUUGAUCAUGUCAAAGACAUUCCAUCGAGAGUGUCCAUGGCAUUGUUGGGGUAGAAAUAAGAUGAUCGUCGACGAUGUAUGGUGUAGAAAUAAGAUGAUCGUCGACAAUGUAUGGUGUAGAAAUAAGAUGAUCGUCGACAAUGUAUUAGCAUAUACAGUAGCUACUGAGAUCAUGUUGAGUGAUGACAUUGAAAUGCGUUCUGUUGAUGAAUGUCGACGUAUAACCGAUUGGUCAAACUGGAAACAAGCAAUCCAAGUCGAACUUGAUUCGCUUGCGAAAUGUAAGGUGUUUGGACAUGUAGCUCAUACUCCUCCACAUGUGAAGCUCGUUGGGUACAAGUGGGUUUUUGUUCGGAAACGUAAUAAGAAGAACGAAAUUGUACGUUACAAAGCUCGUCUUGUUGUGCAAGGCUUUUCACAACGCCCUGGGAUUGACUAGGACAAACUUAUUCAUCCGUUAUGAAUGUGAUUACUUUUCGCUACCUUAUCAGUUUGGUAGUUUCUGAAAAACUGAGUAUGCAGCUGAUAGACGUAGUAACUGCGUAUCUCUAUGGGGAUCUUGAUAUGGAAAUUUAUAUGAAAGUUCCUGAAUGACUUACAUUAACAAGAUCAAAUAUUUCCAAACCCAGGAACACACUCUCAAUUUAGCUGAGGCAUUCACUCUACGGUUUAAAACAAUUAAGAAGAAUGUGGUAUAACCGUCUGAGUGAGUAUUUGUGUAACAACUCGUCCCCCCAAAAAUAUGAUUUUAUAAUUUUUAAAUGUGAAUUUAUGGAAAUGCCCUGCAAGGCAAAGACAUUGACUUUUGUGGACCGUCAUGUCAUGUCAUGUAAGGUUCGUUUUCUUGGCGUAUCCUCAUAGUACUCGUCGCUAUGGAUACGUGAGCGCAAACGAAACGCAAUUUGAAGUUAUAACGAAUAAGUUAUUAACGUUUAAAGUCGAGGGUAAAAUUGUAAAUUUAUUAUUUUCUGGAAUGCUCCAGAUUUUUGAACAAAAUUUAGAAUGCCACGUGUGUGGCCCAAAUGAAAGGAAAUGAGGAAAUGGAUGAUGGAUAUGCAAAGGAAAGAAGAUAAAGAAGGGUGGGCACUGCCUAGUUAGAAGGAAGAGGAAGUGAGAGUGACUAAUGGGGGAGAAAAUAAAGGAGGGGAAAUGAUAGAAUGGAGGACCACCGGAUCUCACAUGACCUGGUUCUAACCCGACGGCAACCCGAUUUUGGGUAGCCAAUUCCGAUGCUUUUCGUCCAUUUUUUCGACGAAUUGAGGUGACUCACCCCCACCAAUCAUCAUGUCGUUGCUUCCUCUUCCAUUUACACCCAUUGUAGACGAGGAUUAGCUCCUAUUUCUAAAAGAACAUCACCAGUGGCCUCGGGGCUUACAUGGAGUCGAUUUUCCAUUCUUAAAGGUGUUACUAUCGAUCCCCACCAUCAAACAACUUCCCUUGAACCAGGGAACAAUGCCCAAACAAGUUUUGGAGCGUCGGGUUCGAUUUAAGGGCGAAUUGGAGAACACCCAAUUUAAGGGUUUCCGCCGGUUCGAGGCGAUUUGGGGCUUUUCUUAGCCAAAUUGGCCUUCGUCACAUGUAUAAAACUUGCUCUACUCACUGAGAUCUUCAUUUCUAUGAAGUUUGAGAAUUUUUAGAAAUAAUUGAAUUUUUCAGCUAGUCGGAGCGGCCGACGGCCACCUGCGGCGACGCGUGGCCAGUGGGCCGCCAAUGCUAUUUUACGCUAAAUUGAUAACUUGAAGGUCCGCCGCUUGAUUAUUUUAGCAAUUGACGAUCUGACUGUUAGAUCAUCACCAAACUUUGAUACGUUAUAGUACGUAAUAUUUGAGGACAUUAGGAACUUAUAGAUCCGGAAUCCUACGUAUGGAGCUUCCCGAAUUGAAUUUGUAAGUUCAUAAAAUAAAACAUUAACAGUCACUUGAAUUUGCAAUUGGCGGAGAUCCAACCGUUGAAUCAUAAUGAAAUUUUAGUAUGAUGUUUUAGAAGCAUAAUAUGGAUAUUUGAAAGUUAUGGAUUGGAAAUUCGAGGUACGAAUCUUCCAGAUCUAGUUACGUAGGGUUAUAGACCCUAUCGUCGAUCUUUGACCGACGGUUGACUUUUAGUCAAUGGGUCUCGAAUCAUUAACGCCCUUAGGGAUGUGUUUUACGUAAGUUACAUGUUCUAUCAAUAAGAAUUCUAAGAUGUGAUUUGAUAAUUGUUCUAGGCGCCAAUCGUUCGUGAUGUCUCGAUAUUCGUGCUAGGGAGUUGUAGUGCAGACUCCAGGUGAAUGGGCUUGGUUUUCUAUAUAUACGUAUAUAUAUGUUUUCUAUUUUCCUAGAAAUUGUUUUAAAUGGAUUUACGUUUUUAAAUGCCAUGUCAAUUGCAUUACAUUUUAGUAUAUGCAUUAGUAUAGAUAUGCAUAUUAAUGCAUGACAUAGCUAACGCCCAGGUAAGCUUCAGGUAAGUGCAUAUUGAUGAUAGAAAUUGCAGUGUGUAUGGUUAUGGUUAGAUGCAUUUAGUGCUCAUUAUCCUGCAUCCCGGUGUUAGUGCUCCGCCCGAAGCCAAGGCUUAGCCUUCACGUGAUUGUUCACCUCCCACACCACACACUCACCUUGGAUCCAAGGCAGGUGCCAGUCUGUCAUACAUAUCACAUUAGGUGGUUCUGACUCGUAGGUGACUUGCGAUACUUCGCAUAACCUUCACGUGAUCGUAGCACUAGAGCGUAUCUAUUUACACCUAGCCUGUCGUACAUACCACAUUAGGUGGUUCCAACUCGUGUGCAGGAAUUGGUAGAUCAGCUAUAAGCUCAGCCGUACAGGUCAUGUUAGGUGACUCCGGUUGACAUAUCAUUUUACAUUGAUUUAUUUCACCUGGCUUACUUAUUUCAUUGCUGAGAUACUUGACAUGGCAUAUACUUGGUUUUCACUGCUCUCGAGCAUGAUUUCUAUAUACAUACGUAUUAUUAUUUUUUGGGAACUUAUAUGGGUUUUACAGUGAGAGAUUAUUAUUUUUGGAAAGAGAAAUGGUUUCAAAAAGCUUUGUUUUUGCCCACUCACAUUUUCUGUCUUUUUUUCGCCCUUCCAAGUUUUAGCUGCUGAAAGUUUGUAUCGACGAGAAUUCUUGGCAAAUCUCAAUAUAGGUCUCUAUCUCUGAGGGUAUGAUCCUUACCUACACUAUUGUACUUUACUUAUGCUCUGACAGCGCAUUCUCUGAGGGUAUGAUACAUAUGGGUUCAUUCCCAUUCACAACGCACUGUUGUCUUUAAGCAUUUUAAGGUUUAAAUUUAUUCACAUUUUCCAUAUCACUAUACUUCAUGACUUCGUCACCUUCCAGGUGUCGGCUAUCACAGCUCGAUUUGGAGUCCUAGUGGACAUUCCGGGUCGGGGUGUGUCAAUUUGACUAGAAGGAUAUGUGAACAACGGACUAUACCUUUGUGUAUUCAUUAAGAAGUCACAUUCCGGUUUUGCAAGUGUUGCAGUAUAUGUCGAUGACAUAAAUCUCAUCAAAACUCCUGACGAGCUCACUGUCAUGCACUUGAAGUGAAUUUAAGACGAAAGAUCUAGGAAAGACUUGAUAUCUCGAGAUAAAGCACCAUUUGGAUGGAAUCUUAGUACAUCAAUCAAACUACACCUAGAAUGUGUUGCGCCGCUUUAAGGAGAAUAAAGCGAAGCCUUCAAGUACUCAUAUGGUCGUUCGAUUGCUAGAUACAAAAUGAGAUCCCUUCCGUCCGAAUGAAGAUGAUGAAGAGAUUUUGGGGCCUGAAAUUCCUUAUCUAAGUGCGAUAGGCACUUUAUUUUACUUAGCUCAAUGCGUUAGACCCGACAUCUCCUUCGCUGUUAAUCUUUUAGCAAGAUACAUUAAUGCACCAAUAUGCAGACAUUGAACUGGUGUUAAAGUCAUCUUUUGUUACCUUAAAGGUACUAUGGAUUUGGGCUUGUUUUAUCCCUAUGGAUCCUCGAGUGAUGCCGCACCCCCUGCUUCUCAAGUCUAUUCUUGCCUUGUUGGUUAUGCCGACGCAUAAUACUUAUCUGAUAUGCACAAGGCGCGUUCUCAAAUGAGUUAUGUUUUUACCAUUGGAGCCACCGCAAUCUCUUAGAGCUUAACUAAAUAGACCUUCGUUGCCACUUCGUCUAACCAUGUUGAAAUUCUUGCCUUACAUGAAUUAACUCUAGAAUGCUUUUAGUUGAUAGCAGUUGUGGGCCAUAUUCGAAGCUCAUGCGAUAUUUACCCUGUCGUUGACAUCCUGAUAACGAUCUAUGAAGACAACGCAACAUGCAUCGAACAACCCAAGAAGGGUUACAUCAAAUGAGACAACACCAAGCACAUUGUGUCGAAGUUUUUAUUCUUACAUCAACAACAAGGGCAUCAGAAGAUUGAAGUCACGCAAAUCUGAUCACAAGACAAUCUGGCCAAUCUCUUCGCCAAAUCACUACUGAAGACGACAUUUCAGAAGAUUGUUCAAGGAAUUGGUAUGCGUAAACUUUCUGAGUUGUAACAUUGCUAGUUCUUAUGUAAACUUUAUCCCUACUCGGGUUUUUACCAUAGCCUUAGGGUUUUUUUUUGUGAGAUUUACUUCCUUAUGUAAGUUCCUACCUUAUUGAGAAUAACGUGUUCCCAAUAUCAGUGCCUACGAGUCGACUUCCUUAACUUCUACAUGAUGUUGAAUCUACCUUGAGUAUUUACACACUAAAGGGGGAGUGUUGUAAACUUCCUAUUAAAGUGUGUGUGUAAAUCCUAUAUUAGAUUUGGUUCUAGUUAUCAUUUCCUAUUAUGACUUGUAUUCCUUGGAGUAGAAGGAUUUAUUCUCUCCCUUAUUACUAUAAAUAAAGACAUCAUGUAGGAGGGAUAACCCACACAUUCCCCUACAUUCCUACAAACACAUCUUUCUUUGCUGCUGACCCUUUCUCUCCCUGUCAGUUAAAAUAGACCACAACAAUAUAAUUAUAUAUCUUUGACUUUUAAGACUACAAACCUCCUUGUUCUUUUUUUUUUUUAACAAAAACCCUCCCUUUCAUUUUAUCAUCGUUGAAUUAUGUGUGCAUUCAUUAUGUGUGCAUGUGUGAAUUAAAAAUAAGGUCAUCUUAAAUUAUGUAGCAAUGUAUUUUUUUUUCAAUUAAGUAUUAAGUUAAUGUUUUUUCUAUUAGGUAUUGGUUCAAUGUAUUUCUUUUAAACAAUAGUAAGCUAAUGUCAUAUUUUUUUGUCCCUAAUCAUUCUUAUAUUUUCACCAUUUUCCUAGUUUAAUUAUAAAUAAAUAAAAAAUGAGAUUAACACAUUACAAUAUAUGAACCCUAGGUUUUUUUUCAUUAUGUGCCCAACUACUUACCUAAUCAAUUUUUAAGGACAUAAUCUAAUUGACACACCCUAACCCGAAGACUAGGACAUGCUGGCCGUCACGUGAGCGUGACGUAACCAUAACGCAAGCGGAAACGAUUUAAUAAUAAAAUACGAGUCAACGAAAACCACUAAUUGCAGUUAUUUACAACCUAGCAUUCUAUGUGCAUAAGAGUGUACUAAACACACAUAAACAGAGCAUAAGCGUCUAGGUGCAGUCAAGUAGGACCAUAACUAUUUUACAACACCCUCGGGUGAAUCCUACAUUUAUUUAGUCUGUCAGAACGCCGAAGCAGUCCUCGUAGGCCACCAACGCCUCAACUAUCAACUAGAACCUGGAGGGGCGAAAAACAGAAAACGUGAGUGGGCGAAAAUAAAGCUUUUCCAAAACAUUUCAUAAAUCCACAUUUAUAACCCCUUUUUGGAAAACCUGUAUACUUUCCCAGAAAAAUAGUAUAUAGCAUAUAUAUCUCAACUGUCUCGAUCAACAAUCUUAUAACAGAUUCAAUAAAGAAUGUACCAUGCCAAAUUCAGCAGUUUAGUAUGAAUGCAUUGACAUAAUAUAAAUCAGGUAAAAGAAAUAAUCAAUCGGAGGCCCUCUAAUAGCCCUGAACGAUUGAACCUAGAGCUCAACAUCUAUCAAUCUCACUCUCUGCCGGAGUCACUCCGCGUGACCUGUCCGGCCUUCUGCACAUAAGUCGGAACCACCUAAUGUAGUCUGAACGACUCAUGGUAAUAUUCGCUCUAGUGCUUCUCUCAUCAAUCAUCUGUAUACAAUAACCUAAGGUCACCCACCAGUCAUAAUCUCACUAACACUCUACGACUGGCCCGUCGUACCCACUCCGCGUGGACUGUACGACCAGCAUCUACUUGGAUCCAAGGCGAGCUUGCGAUGCGGUGAAUACUAUAAGCACUAAACCAUGGUGCAGGAUAUGAGCUCAAUAUAUCAUCAUCCUCAACAUAACAGUAAUUAAAUACUUACCUGUGCGUCCACAGCACCAUCAUACAUAUAUGCAUCAUACGACAGUUCAUAAUAUCCAUAACAUUCUAUGCAUGGCAAUCACAUCAUAUUUCAUUUCAUUUCAAUAUACUUUUCAUUUAAAUUUGAUUUCUGGGGAAAUCGAGUAUAUAGGUAUAUAUAAAAACAAAUGCCCACUCACUGGUAUGUCGCCGGGUCGUAACCCCCUUGACGCCCCUGGAUGUGCUCGUCCUCGUUAAAAGUUCCACCUAGAAGUGAAAUAACUUAAAACAAUCAUUUAACGCACAAUUAACGCACCUAAACCAAACUAGGUAAUUAAUUCUUCAUACGAUGCUCAAAUUGGGUAUAUGAAUAUACCACAGUGACCUACACAACCUCAGGAUCAUCCCCAUAUUUUUAAAAUAAUUUUUGGAUGCUCCACGCGCCCCCACGCGCCUGACGUGGCACGGACCUACGCGCGGCCCACGCGCAGCCACGUGCCAGGCACACUGACGGUACAGUGAACGGCGUUAGGAAUAUUCCCGGAAUAUUCCGUUAAAAACUAACGGUUUCCGUUAAAGUUAACUAACGGCGUCGGAAUAUUCCGUCAAACUUGACGGAAGAUUCCCUGUCUUCUCCGGCGAGUCGCCGGUCGCCGGCGACUGUUCGCCGGUUUCUGGAAAAAUUUCAAAUUGACUUUUCUCCUUCGUUUUCGUCCAAUUUCUUCGAAUUUUACACCAAAAUGAAGCAUUUAACAUGUACUAACACGUUGGAAGGGUUUUAAGGCCUAAAAACUACGAGAUCAUACCUUCCAAAAUUCCUCAAUUUCGGCCAAACUCGAACCCGACGAUCUCGACGUCCAUUUUGUUCAAACGAGGCACUCCGAGCCUCCUUGGGACUUCCUAAGACUCGUGGUGAUCUUUGUUUAACCUAAAACACAACCAAAUUUAAGUUCAUGAACAGUAGCAAUCUCGGAGCUUAAGUUUUCUACAUGGAAUCGUGGGAAAUCUUACCUGAAAACAAUAUCAAUGUGUUCGUAUGGUCCUUACGAACACGAUGCUACCUUCCUCAACCUUAACUUGUGAAGUUUUCAAGGUCUUGGGUGUUUGUCCGAGAGUUUGAGAGAGAAUGAGAGUAAGAGAGAGGGUGAGAGAGUGUUUCUGAGAUGAAGAAAGAGAGAGAGUGUGACUAAGGAGAUGAGAGAGAGACAACAAAACGGGUUUUGGGGAGGGAUUUAGGGUAUAAGGCCCUACCUUAACCCAUAUAAUAUUAACACAUACAAAUAUAUAAUUCUAACCCUAGUUUAGGAUCUUAAAGUAAAACAAAUGUCAAAAUUACGCACCUUAAUCCCGUUUAAGGGCGUUUCUGUAAUUUCACGUCCUCGGUAUUAAGUAAUUCUGGGACGGGCUGUGACACUAAUAAUGAAGCAAUUCUAGUUAAGUUUUUGUGAAGAAAAAUUUUGGUGUGGAAUUUGAAUUUUAUUUGGUUAAAAUGUUCACAAAAAUAUUUUACGAGAACUGUUGAACAACAAAAAUAUAUAACAUAUAAAAACAAUAGAGUCCAUACAAAUUGGGCCAAACUACAAGGUAAAACAAAAGUAAUCCAGCCCAAAAGAUAAGGAUGAGCUUUACAUACAAAUCAAACAUCCAUAAAUAAAUUUAAAAAAUUAAAAUAAAAUAAAAGGGGGAAGUAAUGUGCAAAACAGGGGGCUCCCCAUUUUCUACAACAAAAGAACGUGGAGUCAGUAAGAGAGGUUAAGAGAAAGUGGUGGAAGACAUGGCCUUUAUCUCCCCCACGUAAAAGCUCUAGAGCCCUUCUAAGAUGUCUAUAAAUAGGCAUCAGUUGCAGUAAGAAGGGUAGACACAAAAAAAAAGAAAGGAGAUACUCUGCAGAAAAUAAGAGAAACUUUGAGAGGAAAUACCAAAGGCAACGAAGUGCUACCAGAAAAGAGAACAAGGAGGUUCAACCAUUCGUGCUUUUGAGUCAAGAUCCAAAGAAGAACAUUCAUCACCAUGUAUGAAACAAGUCCUGUUAAAUUAUUUAUUUCUCUUGUUUGAUGUUGUGUUGCAUACAAAAGUGAGGUAAAAAAAAAGGGCAUAAUCAACUACCUAGAACCUGUAACCUUCAGUUUAUACAAGAAAAUUGCCAACAAGCCACCAAAAAAGGUUUCUAUGCAAGGAGGGUUUUUAAAUGGUAGCCCUGCGUUCCUCUACCUGCAACAACAACACAAAGCAAUCCAAAAAUGGUAGUAGCCACAUGUUUUCAUUUUGCCUAGAUCUGAAAGAACAAAAACACACAAGAGUUCCACUCCCCGUCGCUGUCGUCAAUCCCAUGAAUUUCUUCGGGAUGGUCUAAACCACCCCGUGAAGUUCUAAUCAACACAUUGUCGGCGUUCUAAAGAUUACUCCAGAUAAGGGAAAGGAAGAGAAGUCUUCUAGAUAACAUGAAUGUCAUUCACGCGAUUAUCAUGUUAGGUAAAGUUAAAGAAAUUUGAAAACAACAAAGGAUCAUUCUAAAGGCCAUCUGUCAAAAAUCAAGCUAAGGAAGUAGACAUAGGAAGCCAAGUUUUGUAUGCAAAGUCAUUCUUUGCGGUCCAAUGAGAGAAUAUGUGCAUGUGUAGACAAACGAACAAGGGAUAAAAAGCCAAAUACAACUUUUGUUCCCCUUGGCCGACUCAUGCUUGGUCUAAUUCCACAAAAGGAAAUUCCCCAAUUCAACUUUUGAUAAAGACAAAUAAAAAGAAAGGACGACGUCUUUCGAAUGACUUAAAUGUGGUUAUCAUUUUGAUCAAAUAUUGGGUCAAACUGACAUAUGCUACAAGACAAAAGAAAAGAAAGAAAAUUUGUCAAUCUCUAAAUAAGUAGGUAAAAGAUAUUGCUUCUCGGCCGCAUGAAGUUGGACUUGAAAGAGUUCAAGUUGUCCUAAGUUUACAGAGAAGGAAAAGUUUGCUGUCAAACUUCCCAAAUUAAUUGGGAAACUCAUUCACAUGGCAACCUUUAUAUUAACACCCAAAGACCUGGUAGACAAAUCAAAACUACAAGAAGAUUUUGGGAAAAGCAUCACUUUGCACAAGUGUCAACAAGAAAGAACAAGCAAGUAUGAUCAAGUUACCAUGAGCAUGGCUAUCAUAAAGCCACUCACGUGACAUUCAAAUGGAAAAGGCAUAAUGCCUAUUUCUUUUCUGAUUAAGCAUAGAAGGCAACACAUAGAUGGAAAAAAGAGGGCAUCCAAUGCAUAUUGACCAAACCAAGUCACAUGACUCUCUACGGAAGAAAAAAAAAACAUGGAUGCCGAAAAGUGAUAAUUAGACACUAAUGCAUCAAGACUCGUUCAAAUAUGGCAAGCAUGAAGAAUGUGUUACUACAAAUUUUAGAGUACAAUUCUCACCUUUGGAUCCAUAAAUCAACGCUUGUUUUCAAUGAACUCAAUGCUGCAAAAUAGUUUGUCCAACAACCAUGUCAAAAACCAAGUCAAACUGGUCCUAAAAGCUACUCAUGCUAAACGAAAAUUUAAAUAAAUUUAGACUACGAAAGCUACCAACAUCAAACUGGGUUGUUCACAAAAAAAGGGUUUUUACAACCCAAUGAAGCUCAUUACCUGAAGGACACAACAAUAACCAAAUCGAAGAGAAGUGGUUGCCACUGACACCUGCACGAAAUAAUUAAACCAAUCAAUUGCAAUUCAGAGCUUCAACCCACUCCGAAUCAAAUCCAGAACACAGAAAAUGAUAAUGGGGUCACCUGCUGGUUAUCUUCUCCUCCUUUUCGCUUUGAAUUUUCAAUCCACAAAAGGAGCACAAGCAAGGUGGUGAGAGCAAGAAAACGAUGCAGCAGAAGAAAAAAAAAACUCGUGACUUGCAUAAGAAGCCUCUGCGGUUUAUGAGGAAAAGAGGAUAAAUUGGAGCAAUUCAAAAGAGUUUGAACUCCACCAAUCUUACCCAUCUUCAUUUGGAAUUCAACGACUAACAAACCCAAAAGGAAUUUCAAAAAAGACAUUGCGAAAUCAAGAAACGAAUACUAGAGCAGGGAAGAUUUCUGAUUGGGUUUUUCUCACGUGGGACUUGGAGUCCCACUUUAUGUCUUCAAGUCCUGAGCUACCUAAGGAAAAGACUGAACUGUACAUCUCACGUGGGACUUGGAGUUCCAUUCCACUUUAUGCUACUUAAGGAAAAGACAAAUUAAAGUCCUAUUUCAUAAAGCCUAUUAGGCGAUUACCGAAGGUCAUAUAUAGGUUUUAAAUAAAUCCACUUUGCCAAGUCUAAACACAAGUCUACAAAUCCAAAUCAAAUAUUUCACGAUAUACGCCGAUUUAAUUCCGUUAAGGAUACGUAUGUAGUUUGAUGUCAAAUUUUAAACGCAACCAUGAAGUCGGAACAAAUCCUUGAUUUAUAUAAACUAAAUCCACUCCUGCUACUUUGACCAAGUAAUUACAAAUUCUACAAAAAGUAAAAGAGGAGUCUACAAAGCACAGUUCCUAGAUUUCCAUUUAAUGGAUGCUGCUCACACAACAAAGUUCCUAAUUUUAUAAGGAAUGUUGCUCAUAUGAAGAAUGAAGAAAAGAUGAGAUGGAGACAAACUAAUAGGGGUCCCAAGACAAAGAAAAGCAAGGAAGAAAAAAUGGGCAACCCCAUCUCAUCGACACCAAACAUAAAAAAUAGGGGGAGAAAAGAAGUGCAGCAAGACAAGUUAAAGCACUAAGUAUUAUAACACAACCAAGAUGAUUAAACCAAGAACAACCACACAAAAUAUGAACAAUCAGAAGCUAACUUUAUUAAUCAAUAAAGUCUUACAAAAGAACUCACAAAACUCUCACACAAAAGUUUUCUUGCCUUACAAGUCUCUUGAAUUCACACACACACAUUAACACUAAGGCUUACCUAUAAAUACACACACACACACACACACACUAGAUAACCUAGCCACAAAACUAAUCCUAAACUAAGUUAGAAAUCCCAAAACUGACUGGAAACUUGCGUCCAAGUUUCCUAUACAAAAUACAACUCGGAUUCCUAUCUUAGUUAGGAAUACAAACCUGAUUUCAUACCAAUUCCAACAAUCUCCACCUUGGUAAGAAAUCCACAUCAGAGACCUUCAUCUUCUUCCAUUGCUCCACCAUUGUCAAGUUUUCAAACUUGUCAAACGUGCACCAAAUCCAAGCAAUGCUUGAACUUUGAUACACCAACUAUCUUCGUUAACAUAUCAGUAGGAUUAUCAGCCGUAGCAAUCUUCUUGACUAGAAUUUCACCUUCAGCUAUAACCUCUCGAACAAAAUGAUAUCUCACAUUUAUAUGCUUGGUCCUUGCAUGAUGUACCUGAUACUUUGCCAAGUAAAUGGCACUUUGACUAUCACAAUACACAUCCAACUUGUGUUGUUUUACACCCAAAUCUUCUAUCAAACCAAGUGUCCAAAUAGCCUCCUUAAUAGCCUCAGCCAUUGCCAUAUAUUCAGCUUCUGUUGUUGAUAAAGCAACGGUUGGUUGUAGUAUUGAUCUCCAACAUACAGGACUUUUCGCCAUAGUAAAUACAUACCCUGUUGUAGACCUUCUUUUGUCUAAAUCACUAGCAAAAUCAGAAUCCACAUAACCAAUUGAGAACUUAUCAAUUUCUCCAUUAUUCCUUUCAAAACAAAUUCCUGUAUUUCUUGUUCCAUGAAGAUAUCUCAGUAUCCAUUUAGCAGCAUCCCAAUGCAUUUUUCGAGGAUUAUACAUAAACCUACUAACAAUUCCAACUGCAUGGGCAAUAUCGGCCGAGUAUAUACCAUAGCGUAUAUCAACCCUCCAACCAAACUGUAGUACGGAACAUCUUUCAUCUUGGCUUUUUCUUCAUCAUUUUUAGGUCAUAGUUGAGUGCUCAAUUUAAAAUGAAGAGCAAGAGGUGUACUCAUAAGUUUGGUUUCCCCAUUAAUGCCAAACUUAUGUAGCAGUUUUUCAAAGUAUUGUUUCUGUGAUAAAUACAUCAGUCAUUCCUUCCUGUUUUGUGUGAUCUUUAUCCCCAAAAUCUUCCUUGCUUUACCAAGAUCUUUCAUCUCAAACUCUUUCUGCAUUUGAGCUUUAAGCUUUGUAACUUCGGUGAUAUCACUAGAGGCAAUAAGCAUAUCAUCCACAUAAAUCAAUAAGUAGACAUAUGUACCUUCACUUAACUUCUUGUGAUACACGCAAUGAUCGUAAUGACUUCUAGUGUAGUCUUGAUCCUUCAUAAACUUAUCAAACCUCAAAUACCAUUGCCUCGAUGAUUGCUUUAAACCAUAUAGUGACUUGUUGAGUUUGUAGACUAGACCCUAUUUUCCUUUUUCUUCAUACCCUUCAGGUUGCCUUAUGUAAAUCUCUUCAGACAAAUUUCCAUGUAGAAAAGCAAUUUUUACGUCCAACUGAACUAACUCGAGAUCAAAUUGUGCCACUAGUGCAAGUAGAAUUCAGAUGGAUGAGUGUUUCACUACAUGAGAAAAGAUUUCGUUAUAAUCUAUUCCUUCCUUCUGAGCAUAACCUUUAGUCACUAGUCUGGCUUUAAACCUCGCCGAACUUGCAUCAUCUAUUCCAUCCUUCUUUGCAUAUACCCAAUUGCAUCCAAUAACCCUUCUUCCCUUAGGCAACUCCACCAAUUCCCAGGUUUUAUUCUUCUUGAGUGACAACAUCUCGUCAUCUAUAGCUUCAUGCCAAUGCUUUGCUUCUCCACUACUCGUUGCUUCAGUAAAAUUUGUAGAGAUAUCAACUUCGAUUACUGGUAACGCGUAUGCCAUACAUGCAACACAAUCUUUGAAUCUGGCAGGAAGCACAACCUUUUUUUUUCCUUUCCUCUUGGCAAUGCACUCUUCUUGAGCUUGAACAUAAUCAUUCAUAACUUCUUCAUCUUGUCUUUCUUCUUGGUUAACACAAUCUUCUUCUUUAAUGUGAACAUCAUCCUCAAUACUUGUUUUUCCAAAAUUAUUGGAUGAUAGCUCCACCUCAUGGACAACAUUCCUUUCAUCGCUAAGUUUCAUAUGAGUUUCAUUGAACGUCACGUCUCUGCUCACUACUACCUUCUUGAAUUCAAUGCUCCACAAUCUGAAUCCCUUGACACCAUUAUUGAACCCUAAAAAGAUAGCUUUCCUUGCUCUCGGAUCCAGCUUGUUUUCUUUCAUGUGGUAGUAAGCAUCACACCCAAAAACCCUUAGUCUUUCAUAGUCUUGAGCUAUUUCUCCUGACCAUAAUUCCAUUGGAGUUUUACCACUUAGAGCUACAGAAGGUAGACGAUUCAAAAUAUGGCAUGCAUAAUUUAAUGCCUCUGCCUAAAAUCUUUUAUGCAAUUUCGCUUGUGAAAGCAUACAUCUCACAUUUUCCAACAAUGUCUGAUUCAACCAUUCUGCAAUACCAUUUUGUUGUGGGGUUUCUCUAACACUAAAAUGACUAGUAAUACCUUCCCUUUUGCAUAUCUCGAAGAAAUGAUUAGAAGUAUAUUCCCUGCCAUUAUCAUUUCUUAAGACUUUCAACUUCUUGCCAGUCUUCUUUUAAACCAUAAUUUUCCAUUCCAAUAAAAUAUUCAACACCUCAUGUUUGUGCUUUAUCAUAUAAACCCAUGAUCUUCGUGAGUAAUCAUCAAUAAAUGACACAAACCAUCUCUUCCCUCCUAGAGAUUCAUUCUCUGCAGGUCCCCAAACAUCCAUGUAUACAUAAUUCAAUAUCCUUUCAAUUUGAUGUAUUGCAGUGCAAAAUUUUCCCUUUGUUUGCUUGCCAAGAACCAUGUUCUAAAAAACGCUAGGCGCUAGUCGGGUGGUGGGCUAGCGCCUAGCGCCUAGUCGGCUAAGCGGCCUAGGUGGAUUUAGGUAAAUUUCUUGUAUAUCUUGUAAAUAAGUACAUAUUGACACUUACAAAAAAUUAUACUUGUAUGAAAUCUAUGGAUAUGAUAAUAAAAGAAUGAUAAAAUUCAAAAAAAGUAUCCAACAAGUCCAAAAUUUAAAAACACAUUAAGCAUAUAUGCCAUAUAACCAUAGUGAGAAGUAUUGUAGGAUGACACAUGUACAACAAGUUCACAAUUUAAAAUAACAUAAAAUGGAAAAUAGGAGGAAAUUAAGGAAAUUAGUAAUGUAAGAUACUUAUCUUUAGCAUCUCGGAAUUUAAGUUGGUACACAACACACCUAUUCUAUAAAAUUAAAAAAAUUUCAAGGUAUAAUUAGAACUUAGACUUUAAACAAAUUUCAAAAAAAAAAAAAACCACCCAGCCACCUACAGCCACCCCGAUUUUUCCAGCCGUUUUGCACAAAAUCGCCUCGGUUCCAAGGUGCCUAGUGCCUAGGUGGCCGCCUAAGGCAUUUUUUAGAACAGUGCCAAGAAUAUAGUGCUCACAGAACUCUAUCUUUCCACUUUUAGCUCCCUUUAAAACCCCUUGUUUAAUCAACCCUUGCAACGCUUUGUUUUUCACAUGCUCCAACCUCAUAUGCCAUAUAGAUGAAUCACCUUGAUCACCUUCUGCCACCAUAGUCAAUUGUUUUUCCACGAUAUUACCCUCCAACAAGUAAAGCAAACCUCUUCUAGGAGCCUUCAUCAUCACUAAUGCCCCUCUAACUACCUUAAGUAUAUUAUUCUCAUAAUACAAUUUGCAACCUUGAGAUUCAAGGGUGCCUAAAGAAAUUAAAUUCUUCUUGAGGUUUGGAACAUAUCUUACUCCUUGUAGUUCUCGAAUUACACUAUCAUGAUGAUUAAUCAUAACGCUGCCAAUAAUUUGCGUUGAACAUGGAUUAUCGUCACCCAUAUACACAGUUCCAAUGAAGCUUUUGAAAGAUGAGAACCAAUGACGUUGUGAAGUCAUAUGAUGAGUGCAUCCAGUGUCAAACACCCAUUGAUUCACGUAGUCUAUGCUUUCCGUUGCUGUUAGAGCACAAACAAAAUCCUCAUCAUCAGCUUCAACAAUGUUUGCCUCUGAAUCUUCAUGUCUCUUUUCCUUGUUUUUAGCCUUGAUUUUAGGACAAUCAUUCUUCCAGUGUCCUUUCUCAUGGAAAAAGGCGCACUCAUCCUUAUCCAAGAAUUUUCUAUUGCUUGAGUUACCUCUUGUACGAGACUUGCCUUUCUUCCUAUUUGCAGACUUUCUUUCCUUUGAUUUUCCUCUCACCAUUAAUGUUUCAGAAUUGUUCCUCUCUUGUCUAUCAAGAUUUCAAACUUCAUGAUUCAUCACAGCACUUGAGAUCUCAUCAAAUUUAAUAGUUUCUCUACCAUAAAUCCAUGUCGUAACGAAUGAUUCAUAGGAUUUAGGCAAAGAAUUCAUCAAGAUCAAAGAUUUGUCUUCAUCCUUGAUCGUCUCUUCUAAGUUCAACAAUUCAGCAAUCAUCUUGUUAAACUCUUCGAGAUGAUCAAUCAUCUUUGUUUCUUCCUUAUACUGAAAAUGAUAAAGCUUACUCUUGAGGUAAAGUCUAUUUUCUACACUCUUUUUCAAAUACUUGGACUCCAGUGUAUCCCAUAAUUCCUUGGCCAAUGAAAUAUUCAUUACACCAUACUUUUGUGCCUUGCCAAGACAACUGAAUCGUGGAACAUGCAUGCGCAUUUAGCCGUUGCCAUUCCUCCUUCAUCGCCAUAAACAUAUCUCCAAGCACAACAAGUAGUCCUUGUUGUAUCAACAUAUCUUUAACUUCGCACUACCACAUAGUGAAGUUAUUGGUCCUGACGAACUUCUCGAUCUCGAACCUAGCACUUUGCACCGAGGUUUUGGUUACCUCAAUGCCCCCAUCAUCUCCACUCUUGUUGGAGUCUUCAGGUUUUGUCAUUGUUUUGGCUUAAUCACCAAACUAGGCUCUUGAUACCACUUAUUGGAACAUAACCAAGAUGAUUAAACUAAGAACAACCACACAAAAUAUGAACAAUCAGAAGCUAACUUUAUUAAUCAGUAAAGUCUUACAAAAGAACUCACAAAACUCUCACACAAAAGUUCUCAUGCCUUACAAGUCUCUUGAAUUCAUACACACACCAACACUAAGGCUUACCUAUAUAUAUAUACUAGAUAACCUAGCCACAAAACUAAUCCUAAACUAAGUUAGAAAUCCCAAAACCAACUAGAAACUUGCGUCCAAGUUUCCUAUACAAAAUACAAACUCGGAUUCCUAUCUUAGUUAGGAAUACAAACUUGAUUUCAUACCAAUUCCAACACUAAGUUCCUUUAAAAAAAUCAAGUGAAUGUGACAUGGCUUUCAAACAUUAGUCAUGAUUAUGACUAGUCAUUUUUUUUUACUUGAUGCAAUACAGUUCUCUCAAAUUAAAUGGGAAUACUAUCCACAUGGAACUUAGAGAGAAAAGAAAGAGAGUAGCUUUUCCAUACUAUUCAUGUGGGCAUUAUCACUUUGGCAAACAUUUGUGGCAAACAAGAGCUCACUACUUCAUCGCGGAGGUACCGAAUUCAAGCAGUUAAAAUGAAAAAACAUUGGAGACAACUUUGAACUACGGACUACAAACCAUUUCAACUGUCGUGGACGCGAACCAUCUCAAAACACAAAGUUCAAUGAACUUAUGCUUCAUCAAAUUUAAUGGAUCAAAUUCCCAAGGUGGCCAAUGACACGAGGCUACAUCAAAUACCAAAAUGGCACGAAGCCACAAUCAAACGGCACGAAGCCGCAACAAGACUCAAAUGGCACGAAGCCACAUCCUGCUCUAAUGGCUCAAAGUUCUCGCUCACACGAGCUUAAACUGCAUGAGGCACCAAUAGCUCUAAUGGCUCAAAGUCCUCGCCCGCACGAGCUAAAAUUGCAUAAGGCAUCAAAUGUUACUUGCGUGCAUGAGCUAAAACUGCACAAGACAUCAAACCCUAACAAAUACAAAAAGAACUAUGAGUGACUUGAUCCCUCAACGAGGGUACGUAGGCAAUCUAGGGCUUUGCCUAGGUGCAGUCACAAAAUCAAAUAAACACCCAAACCCCCAAGUUACGAUUUAUUCAUAUUGGAAUCAAAGGGUAUUCCUUUCCCAAAAGAAAGGUUGUAAUUAAUAGGUGCGUAGCCUAGAAUGGGUCAAACUCAAUUUAAUAAAUCCCUCUUUGAAAAAUGAACGAUGGUGAAAUUGUGUCGAGUGAAUUAUUUGUUUCCAUAUUGUAUACAAUUUUUGCUCAACAAGAACGUAAUGUUAAAUUAAUUAAAAAAAUGUUAACAUAAACAAAAAAUACGCACAUUAUCAAAUUACCAUAGAAAAUCGUAAAAACCUAAAAUUUAGGGAUUCUAUUAUAAGGACUCUCCCAUUUGGAGGCAAUAUUCAUUUAGGGACACAAAGAUUCCCUUUAAGUUUUAAAUGAGUACUCAAAGGUGGUGGGACUCUCGUUGAAAAUGCUCUUAAGACACUAGUUUGUAGUGAAGAAAAUGAUGAAUACGGUUCUACAAAGAAAUACUAAAUUUAAUCUAGUGGUCAUAUGACUUCGAAUGUGGGUAAAUUUUUGGUAUAGAUGAUUAGAUCGUUAAAAUACAUUAUAUAAUGUGCUUUGAAAAAGUUAUCUUUAAUAUUAGAAAGCCAGCAAUCAACUUUGGUGUCUCAAGGCUUCACCAAAAAUUUCUAGAAAAAAAAAACCCCUAAAACAAAAAAAAUCCAAAACUAACAAAAAAUAACACAGCAAACACAACAUGGGUAAUUUUGUCAAAAAGAAAAAAGGGCAGUCAUCAAAUUAAAAAGUUAAAAUAAAAAAAAAUGAAAUACAAAGAGCAGUUAACGCAUUCAAACAUGGUUAACCUCACUAUGUUUGGAUGAGGGAAAUAAACUUGGAAUUUGAAUUAAAGACAGAAUUUAUAAAUUGACAUUCACCAAUUCCCUUGUUUGGAUUCAUAAACAUAGAAAUUUAGAAUUUCCGCAUGGAAAAAAACUUGGAAUUUGGGACCUCCAAUUCCCAAGUUUAAAUUUCAUGUAAAUAGGUGUCAUUUUCCAAUUUUUAUGAUUAAGAGUUUAAAAACAACAAAUUCCGUAUUCAAUUUCAUUGUUCUUUUAGGUUACCCAAAUAAGAAAAUUCACAAAUUCUAUAGAAUAAAAUUCCAUGAUUUAAAUUUCUAUCAUUUUAAAAUUUGUUAGUAAUUUUAAAUUUAUUCAUCUAAACAUAAUGUUACUUUGACGUGAUGAAACCGUUUCACACACGAGGGGGGAUUUGAUACUGAACAGAAAACUGUAUUAAAAAAAUUACAUAAAGCCGAGAAAAAAAAAAGUAGAACGUGGCAUUCAAACCUCCACGUUGUGCAGAAAAAAACAAACUGGAGAAGAUGGAGUUCAGAACGUGGAAUAGACACAGUUAUCGGAAGAGAGUUUACCUUUUUAUUCCAAGUUUACAGUUAUCGGAAGACAGUUUACCUUUUUAGUUUCUUUACUGCAAAAUUUGCGAUGGUUUUACGAGGUAGAACGAGGACGAUGCAAUUCAAUCUCCAUCCACCUUUUUACAGGUACGCCAAGUUUCUUCAAUUUCCGAAUUUUAUCUCUACAUUUUAGUCUAAAAUAUCAGACGAUAAUUCAUGGGUAUUAUCGUAAACGUUCCGGAAUCUAUUGCUUAAUUUAUAUUUUUCUUAUGGAAUGUAAUGUGAUUUUGUUCACAUUUUAUAUAAUUGAUCGCUGGACAUUUGAAGACGAACAUGGAGGAAAAGUUGGAUAAUUAUCCUCCUAAACUGAGCAGUUAUAAUUAUAACACGUUGAAAAAAAAAUGGAGCUCAAAUUUGAAACUGCAAUUGGUUUUAUUCCUUUUCCACAAAAACUAAAUCGUCUUCACUCUUAGGUAUGUUACUUUGAUGUUCGAUUUAUUUUUAAUUUCCAUUUUUAUCAUUAACUCCAUAUUUGAUCAAAUAUAUAGGCUGAUUGGUGAAUCCCCAGUGAUCGAUGCGUUUUCAAUAUAUGAGUUGGUGGUUUUGUUCUUUUGGGUAACUUCGUUUAAUUCUUUAUUCCUCCUGUCCAUGAAAUUUAAAUUAAUUUAGUACAAAUGUUCAUUUUUGGUUUCUGGGAAAUUAAAAGUUUGAACCUUUUCUAUUUGUGUAAUCAAUUUUGAAGUUUGUUUCACAGGAAAAAUAUGGAAGAAGGAAGAGAAAUAGCGGAAGAAGAGGGAACAAAAAUAGUUUUGAGUCAUCCUGUUCUGUAUUAGGUAACAUAUUUUCAUCCCUUUUUGUUUUUCCUUCUGUCCAUGAUUUGGACCUCAAGAGCGGAGCAGAAGAGGACUUGAUCAUGUUUUUUUUUUCAUUUAGAUGGUUGAUCUAUUCUCUUAUUUGGCGCUCUGACUUUUUUAUCUGCUUCUGUUUCCUAGCUGUAUUUUUUUUAUAGACAAUUGGUGGACGAUGUUUUGACGGGACGGCAGUCGUCAGGUAGGACGAAGAUCUAUGCUUUAUUUUAUGGGCAUGCCCAUUUUCUUAACAUGUCUCUCACACUUCCAUUCAGUAUUUCCUAUUUUUCAAUUCACGCUCUUCUCUUUCUCACUCUUCGCCUGUAGAGCCGUCAGGUGUGUCGAAGUGGUUGGAUGUGUUUGAUGUGAAAGAACUGGCGUGCUUUGAGGGGCUACGUGAAGGGUAUAUUUCUAUUUUCUUUUUCUUCCAUGUUUUACUUAUUUAUUGGUGAUCAAAUGAUACUUUGUUCUUCUUCCAUUUUGGAAGAAAAAUGUUACAAUUGCUCUAUUCUGUAAUGGUUUUAAGGCUUUAUAGAUGUCCUUAAUUGUUUAUAUCAUGUUUAGUUUAUCGUAAUACUGUAAUCUACGAUCAAACCUAUAUAUGUAGUAUGAACGCUAUAUCAUAGAAGGGAUUUUUAUUUUCUUACUUUGUAUCCAGAGGAAACAAAGAAAAACCAUGGGAAGACAUCUACAGUCGGUCCAAGAAUAAUGAUUAUAGAAUUUGGGUUCAACUUCUUAUUUCCUUAUAUUCAGUUGGAUUCCCUCUUCGUUGGGGUUGAUUAUAGAAUUUGGGUUUGUUCAUUUGGUGUUUCAAGUAUUCGUAAGAGUGUUUGCUUAUUUUUUAGGGUGAUAUCCUUAUUGCUUUGCUCUUUACUUGGACCAAAAUAAAGAAACAGACUUGAAACCCUUGCUUUCUGUAAGUUUUUUUAGGAAAGGGGAAAAGUACGGGUAGCACUACUUCUCCUUCUAUUUGAAUAGGAGUGAGGAGGCAAGAAUGCAUAUACACUACAAAAAAAAAAAAUGUCUAACACAAUUCAUUGGUGCCCUUUUCAAUUUCAUUGAGCACAGAUAUGAAUUUGUGCUUUUAUGUUUCAUUGAGCACAAAAUUAUCUCGAAUUGUUGAAGUAAACAUGUUCUUUAUCUGAAUAUGCUUUGUCUGUUGUUACUUCAUGUUUCGAUCAAUUUUUCUUUGCAUAAAUAAGAUGCCAUGCAAGCAAGUAAAGCUUUCUGGGUUUAUGUCUACUGAGUGCCAAACCAUGAAAUGGUUGUCAGAUUGAGGUUUAAGAGUUGCUUGGCUAUUAAUUAGUGUAAGAUUCGGAGGAAUGUAGUCUAUCAUACUCAAGAGUGCAGGUACGCAUAAUUUUAUAUGUAAUUGAUUCUUCUUCUCUAAUAAUCUUCCCCUAUUUCCUUUUGUUCUGUAUAUAAUGGAUCGUCUUAAAUUUACAGGUUCAUGGUUCAUUCAGGCUGCAAAGGAUUUGAUUACUUUCUUUUUAGGAAUAUGAAUUGGAACAACUUCAAAAUUCGGGUGUAAUUAUUUGUCUUAUCAAGUAAAUAACUGUAUCUUAUGAUCUGUUUGUUUUUUUCAUGCAUGGGAUUGUAUUUUUGAUUGGAAGGUUAUAAAAAUGAACACCAUUUACAGUGCUCCAAAAUACAAUAGAUAUACAUGUUUUGCACUAAUAAAACAAGAUUAUUACUACUUUAUGUAUUCAAUUUUAUAUUAAGGUACAAUAUCUAUACCAAAUAAAAUAGGGUUGGCAUAUACACAUUAAGAAAACAACCUCCAUUUGCACUUUUAAUAGAACAAGGCUCGGGUUUGAUUGUAAAAACAAAAACAAAAUUGUUACACUAAUUUUUCUUAAGAAUAAAAACAUGAUAAGGCGAUCUACAAAUAAAGAGAUUGGAAACUAAUGUAAUAAACUUUCAUCUUCUAUAGAAAAAUAGAAACAAGUUAAGCAUGAGCAAUUAAGAAAACACAAUUCGCAAACACAUAAAAUUCAGCUAUCAACGAAUAAGAAUGUUGAUAGACAAAUGAACACCUAAUGCCUCCUAAAAAAGGCUGUUUUAAUCCUCUCACACGCAAGUGUUGUUUCACUAUUGCAUGAAAACAACUUGCGCAAUAUAUAAUUAAAACCAAGUAGCACUGGUAAUUAAAAAAAUACCUCUUGCGCAACCUUGAUGAAAGAGACCAUGAUUUAGUAAUGGCAUCAUCAUGUUACAAGUAGACUUGAUGUUUUUGUAUGUACAUAUUGUUCAUCGUUUUGUUUUGGAUCAAUGAAUCAAAACAUACCAUCAUUUGAUCAUGAUAUAUAGCUCGAAAAAUGUGACAUAAGCCGUACAAUUAAACAUUAAUGUCAUUUUCAUUUACAUAGUUAUCAAACAAAUUUCUCGCACCCUUAAAGAUGUCGUCCGUUAAUUGUUUUCAAUUUGUUCAGUGAGCCAUUUUGACAAUUACAAUGAAAAAUAAAUAAAUCAAGACAUAUUUAGAGACGCGUAGCGCCCGUGAUUGAAAAUAUGCCUCUCGCACGCACGCAAGUACGUGCAGAGAGGCUAGUGUCCAAAUAUGUGUCAAAAAAAAAUGUCUCCGAAUGCUAACCGUUACGGUCAUACACGGCACUGGGUGAAACAACAAAGAAAAUUCUAGAUUGAAACUUCCUCUCAAGUCUCUAACCAGUCCACUACGCUAACGUGUUGGCGGACUCGUCAUCUCACCAUCAUGGAAACCCCACGCGGCUUCGACAAAUAAACAUCAGAAUAGUUAAGUCCGGGCAAAGAAUUAUUAUCUAAUCAAGUAAAUAUAUGUGUGUUUGUGUGUUCCUAAUCAAGGUUUAAAAUAUCGAUGAUAUCGAAAAUAUCGAUAAUUCAAAAACACAAAAAUUUUGAUAGAAAUAUCGGGAUAUUAUCAAUAUCGAUAAAAUUGAAUAAAAACCACAGAAAUUGUAAGAAAAACAUGGAAAUUUUUAUUGAAACUUUGCAGGAUAUUUAUUUAGUUAAUUAUCUAUUAGUUUAUCACAAAAAAUUAUAAGGAAAUGCAUUGCAUGAUGGAUUUAACUGAUUUAAGUUGAUUAUAUAGCGAGCUGGCAAACAUUGUUAGUAUAGAAAAUAUGUAGUAAUUAAUGAAAGAAGUUUAAACACACCAUAAUCAUUUAUAUAUAAUGAAUUAGUACAAUAUUUUAUAUUUUAUACAUUGCAUGGUAAGAUACAUGAGUGACUUAGUACCACAUAUAGUUCCUAUCAAGGUCUAAAAUAUCGAUGAUAUCGGAAAUAUCGGUAGUCCAAAAACACAAGAAUUUCGAUGCAAAUAUCGGGAUAAUAUCGAUAUUUUAAACCUUGAUCCUAAUAACAAGGGUUGUUGUUGACUUAGUCAGCUUUAAGGGAAUGUUGAGAGAGAAGAUUUCCCCAAUAAAUGUAUGAGAGUGGAUGAAUUCCAUGAAGAACUAAGAACUGCUUUCUCUCUUUCCCUCUCCAUCUUCUGAUUAAUGUCGGAUCCAUCAUCAAUACCAAUACCAAUUACUGCUUUCAUCGUGGGUAAAGAUCAAUGUCCCUCCUCGUUACCUUUCUCAUUUCUGCAUUCACUACUUUUGUUUAUAAUUCAUUUGUCAGUAAUGAGUUCUGAAUUGUGCAGCGAUGAUCGUGGUGAUGAUCGUUAGCGUAAGUAUGGCAGUGUUCCGGGAAUGUAACAAACUCGAAGAAAAUAAUCGAAUUCAGAAUGGCAACUUAGUGUAGAUCUCAAGUCCAGACGUUCGGACACUCACAAUGGACAACUUCCUAUGGAAAGAGAAAAGCCCAUCAGGUUCACUUCCCAACAGCUUCGGAUUACUACUGAUAACUUCACCAAUCUAUUGGGCCAAUGAGGAUUUGGUGCAGUUUAUAAAGGAAUAUUCAGCAGUGGAACUCUUGUAGCGGUGAUGGUUCUAUAUGGAAGUUCGGAUACGAGAAUCAAGGAACAAUUUAUGUCGGAAGUUAGUACAAUCGGAAGAACCCAUCACUUCAAUCUGGUCUGUCUUUAUGGUUUCUGCUAUGAGGAACACCUCAGAGCACUUGUUUACGAGUACAUGGGAAAUGGAUCGCUUGAAAAGUACUUAUUUCAUACCAACAUGGUGGCGUUAGGAUUUGAAAAGCUUCAUGAGAUUGCUGUGGGGACAACAAGAGGAAUCACUUACUUGCACGAAGAAUGCCAACAACGAAUUAUUCAUUGUGACAUAAAGCCAGAAAACAUUCUUUUGGAUGCAAACUUCUUUCCAAAAGUAGCUGAUUUCGGUUUGGCCAAGUUGUGUAACAGGGAAAAUACUCAUAUAACCCUGACAGGGGGAGAGGGACUCCGGGUUAUUCUGCACCGAAAGUUUGGCUGAGGUUUCUGUUAAAGUCCCACAUCGGUGGGUGCAAGAAAACCAAUUAAAUAGUAUUACCCCACUCUAACUACCACCAAGGUUUUUUGUGGUAAAAUCUCACACCUGAGGAUUGUGCAGGUGGUUAAGUUGGGGACAAUAUCGGUGUCGUUAGUGUGGGGCAGGCCCGACGAUCCAAAAAUUCCAACAUAGUAUCAGAGCCCACAGAUGCGGGCCCGUGCAAGCCAAUGAGCUUGUCACCAAGUAGGAAACAAGUCUGAACUCUUAACAAAGAGACGAUCGGUGAGUUCCAUUGAAAACAAGUCGGCCCACCGCUGAGUUCCAUUGAAAACAAGUCGGCCCAACGUGAGCCAACCUCUGAGUUUUAAUUACCGAUGUGGAUCUCCACAUGUGAACUACUAAAUGAGGUUACACGUGAGAGGGAGUGUUAAAGUCACAUUGGUGGGUGCAAGAAAACCAAAGGGGUUUAAAUAGUAUUACCCCACUCUAACUAACAUCGAGGCCUUUUGUGGUAAAAUCUCACACCUGAGGAUUGUGCAGGUGGUUAAAUUGGGGAUAAUAUCGGUGUCGUUAGAGUGGGGCAAGCCCAGCGAUCCAAAAAUUCCAACAGUUUCCUAUAACACACAAAUGUGAUGUGUAUAGCUUUGGAAUGCUAUUGUUUGAGAUCAUAGGAAGGAGAAGGAAUCUCGACAUCAAUACUGAAUAUAGCCAAGAUUGGUUCCCUAGGUGGGUAUGGAAGAAGUUUGAACCCGAUGAGUUAGGAGAGUUGAUGGCAGUUUGUGGAAUAGAGGAGAAAGAUAAAGAGAGGGCAGAGGGAAUGGUAAAGGUAGCUCUGUGGUGUGUACAGUACAUGCCCGAGGCAAGGCCUUUGAUGAGUGUCAUGGUUAAAAUGUUGGAAGGUGCAGUUUAGAUUCCUACGCCUUCAACUAACCCUUUUCGGCACUUGAUGCCCGACACUCCAUACCCUACUGCACCUAUCUAUGAUACUUCAAAUCCAACAGACAGUACCACCAGUGAUUUUAACUCGGUUCCUUCUCAAACUGUGAUUGUGUAAAUCCUAAAUUAGAUUUUAUUCUAGUUAUUAUUUCUUAUAUGAACUUGUACUCCUUGAGGAUGAAGGAUUUAUUUUCUCUCUUAUUACUAUAAAUAAAGGUAUCAUGAAUGAGGGAAUAACACACAUAUUCCCCUAUGAUCCUACAAACACAUCUUUCUCUACAAUCUCUCCUUGCUGCCGACCAUUUCCCUUUAGUCAGAUAAAAUAGACUACAACAAAUAUGGUUUUUUAGCCAAAAUGGUCUUUAAGAUUGGCAUAACUCAUCACUUUGAUUCCUCAAAUUUGAAAUCGAUAUAGUGGUUUCUAACUUUGUCCAUCCUCAAUCAUUUAGUCUUUCCGUAAAAAAUAAUUAUUAAAUAAGGACCAAAAUGACAAAAAUAUUCUCAAUUUAAUAAACAAUUGGCCAAAAUGAUUUGACAAAAGUUAAGAGUAUUUUAGUCAUUUUAUCCUUAUUUAAUAUAUUUUUCACGAAAUAAUCAAAAUGAUUGAUGGUGAACAAACUCAAUGACCACUUCUAUUGAUUUCAAAUCUCAAUGAUCAAAGUAAGGAGUUAUGACAAUCUUAGGCACCAUCUUAGCUAAAAAGUCUAUAUAUAUAUAUUUAUCGUGAAGACUUUUCUCAUAUUGCAUAUGUAGUUUUCAUUAUAAUGACAAGGGGUUGGUUAUUUACCAAUGAGGAAAAAUUUUAAAAUAUUAUAGAACUAAAAUUUUAAGUGAUUUGCCAUAUCAACCUUCUAAAAUCAUUAAUUUGUUAUCUUAUCCUAACUUCGUUAAGUUUUUCACUCAAAAUAAGUCAUGACUUAUGUUCAGGGCUAUUUUAGGUGAUUUGUACUAGAAAUUUUAAUCAGGUGAAAGUGAAUACCAUGCUUGGUUCACGUGUUCUAAUAAGAGUUUUACCACCUGCAAAAGUAAGAUUUAAAGCAAGAGAACAUGAUAAUUGUAGUAUAAACGGCUCAUGACACACCCUGAUCCGGAAUGUCCACUAGGACUCCGAAUCGAGUUGUGCUGGUCAACACCUGAAAGGUGACGAAGCCAUAAAGUAUAGUGAUGUGGAAAUGUGAAUAAAUUUAAACCUAAUAAUUUCUAAAGACAAGAGUGCGCUGUGAGCGAGAAUGAACUCAUUUCACACUCGAAGUCAGAGCAUAAAUAUAGUACAGUAGUGGGUAAGGAUCAUGCCCUCAGAGGUAGCCACCUAUACUGAGAUUCACCAAGAAUCCUCGUCGAUACGAACUUUUAGCAUCUAAAACCUGGAGGAGCGAAAAACAAGAGUGAGUGGGCAAAAACAAAACGUUUGAAAACUAUUUAUCUUUAUGAACAUAAUAACCCCUUUCCGUAAAACCCGUAUAGUUUCUAGAAAAUAAUAAUACAUACGUAUAUAGAAAUCAUGCUCGAAAGUAGUGAAAACCAAGUAUAUGCUAUGUCAAGUAUCUCAACAAUGAAAUAAGUAAGCCAGGUGAAAUAAAUCAAUAUAAAAUUAUAUGUCAGCCGAAGUCACCUAAUGUGACAUGUACAACUGAGCCUAUAGCUCAUCUACCAAUUCCUGCACACAAGUCGGAACCACCUAAUGUGGUAUGUACGAUAGGCUAUGUGUAAAUAGAUACGCUUAAGUGCUACAAUCACGUAAAGACUCUGCAAAGUAUCGCAACUCACCUACAAGUCGGAAGCACCUAAUGUGGUAUGUACGACAAGCUGGCACCUACCUUGGAUCCAAGGUGAGCAUGUGGUGCGGGAGGUGAACGAUCACGUGAAGGCUAAGCCCUAGCCUCGGGGGGAGCACUAACACCGGGGUGCAGGAUAAUGAGUACUAAAUGCAUCUAAACAAAACCAUACCCAUUGCAAUCACUAUCAUCAAUAUAUACUCACCUGAAACUUACCUGGGCAUCCGCUGCGUCAUGCAAUAAUAUGUGUAUCUAUACUAACGCAUAUGCUAAAAUGUAAUGCAAUUGACAUGGUAUUUGAAAAAAAAACCGUAAAUCCAUUUAAAACAAUUUCUGGAAAAUGUAAAGCAUAUAUACAUGUGUGUGUGUAUAUAUAUAUAUAUAUACCCAUUGCAAUCACUAUCAUCAAUAUAUACUCACCUGAAACUUACUUGGGCAUCCGCUGUGUCAUGCAAUAAGAUGUGUAUCUAUACUAACGCAUAUGCUAAAAUGUAAUGCAAUUUCUGGAACAUGUAAAGCAUAUAUAUAUAUAUAUAGAAAACCAAAAAAACCCACUCAUAGAACAUGACGUUGGGUCGAACCCGCCUCGCGGCUUCGAAAAUCCUUGCAAUGUGUUUCACCUAGAAACAAAACCAUUAUGUACUUAUGUAUAACGUGCUAAAGUAUAAACGAGUUUUCUAGAUUUUAUUGCGUGUUUUUCCCUUAACUUUAGGAGCUCAUUUCAAGCUCAAUUUUCAACCAAAUUCAACGAUUCAAAAGCCAACUAGAAGUUAGAAAUGUGGGAAACAUGUUCGUACUAGUUUGAAAUCAAAUAAUGGCCGGAGUUGACCGGGAAAAUGGUCUGAAAGUGGCCAAAUGGCCACGGGUCCAAGUUUUCCAGAAUCUAGGAAAUUUCGUCCCAAAUUUCAGAGCUAAUUUCUAGCUCAAUUCUCAAUCAAAUUUGAUGAUUGAGCCAUAUUAAAGCUAGAAAUGUAGAGAACAAGUCCAUACCAAAUUGAAGCCGAGUUUAUGUCGGAGUUGGCCAAAAAAAUGGCCUAAAGAUGGCCAACUGGUCAUGACCAAAAUUUCCAUAAUCUAAAAAGAUUUCAACCCAACUUUGAAGGCUAAUUUCUAGUUCACUACUUAACCAAACUCGAUGAUUCAAAAACUAACUUGAAGCUAGAAAUGUAGUGAAUACCAGUUUCGAGGGCCAACCAUCACCGAGAUGGCCGGAAAAUCCUCUCAAAGGGCUAAAUAGUCACGGUCCAAGCUUCCAAAAUUUCUAGGGAAGUCCUCCCUUCGUCCCCGCAUCUUCUAAACCCUAUCCAAAACACGUCUAAGCCCUGAGAUCGUUCACUAGAAAUGAAAAAGAAUAAGGGAGAGAGAGAUCCUAAUGCCUACCUUGGUCGGGUUUCAUUGAAGUCGCCGGAAUCUCAACUUUUAAAACUGAAUUCCUUUUGAGCUCCAAGGCACAGUUCUCAUAACCCAAACUUGGGGUUAAGUUCAUAAAGGUGAGAUGAUUGUAGCAUGGUGCUGUAAUGGUCUGGGUCUCGUAUGUACGGAAGUUGUCAUGUGUGGUGGUGUCUCGGUGGUGACUAACCCAGAGAGAGAUAGUGAGUUUGAAAUGAGAGGUGAGGGCAGUGAGAGUUAAAAGAGAGGGAAAGAUCCAGGGGAUAGGGAACUCGGGAAAAUGGGGGAGAAUGGGUUGAUGCGGUAGUUCCUGGCCUGUAUUUUUGGCCUCUCUGUUUACAGAGAAGAAGAUAAGGAGGCAGAGAGAGAUGAGAGGGUUCUCGAAUGAGAGACCACGGGAGGGAAAAGACAGAGGGCACCAGAAAUAGGGUGGUGCCACGCGUCAGUCAUGUAGUGGUUCAAAUGGGAGAAAUAUCUCUAUUUGUGAACUUACCAACACACCAUUACAUUUCGAAUUCCAUAAUAUUCCUGUUUUUGCUCCAAAUUCAAUUCCACUUGUGUCUACGCUUUCGUAUAAUCGAAUACUACACAAAUAUGAUAAAAGAAUGAGUCAUAUGUCUCUCUAAUCAAUGGUCAACGAAAGUCAAAAUCUUUGCCUCAAGGGCAUUUUCGUAAAAUCACUAACUUAAAGUUUAUCAAACUUAAAAUUAGAGACGGAUUGUCACAGCUCAAACAAUAUCGUUCUCCAUAAAGAUUUAUAUGAAUUAUUCAUAUUUAAAACCAAUUUUUAGCUAACUAUUCAACACAAGACUUAGUAAAGAUUUGAAAUUGUGAAUUAAAAUAAUAAGAAACUGAAAAUAAAAUAACUAGAGUUGGUUUUUGUAAAGAACUCGGCGGCAAAGGGAAAAGGAAAUAAUUUUUGGAAAAAUCAAAUGUAAAAGGCAUUAGAGUUUAGUCGUCGCCAUUAACAGUCCUAUACAGUUCUCUCAGUUACUUAUGAAUUUACCACAUACAAGCUUUGAAGGUUAGGUUUUCCUAAUGCAUAUUCUCCUCGUGAAGUUCAAGCAAGAACUUAUAUCUAACAUGUAAUCCGUCUGUGAUAUUCAUAUCAAAUAUAAAUAUACAAAACUCAAAUACGCUUUGCAAAAACCUUUUGAAAAAACCAUGCAACCCUUAAGAGCAUGAUAUUCGCUUUAAGUGAAAUACAAUUAUCAAUUGCAAGAAGCCUUCCUCAAUUUUAGGGGGAAUGUUCCAACAAAAAUUGCAUUAAAGUAUUUGUCUAAAUAUCCUAAUGGUAGCUAAGCAUUGGGACAUAAUAAUUUAAACGCGGUGAUUAAUAAUUCAAAGCAAGCAUGCAUAAUUUUAUAAGUAAAUUGAUAAGAGACUACAUAUUCAUGUCAAAACUUAUGAUGUCCUAGCAAAAAAAAUUAGUUACGCAUAAUCAUAAUACAAUAUAUAUAUAUAUAUAUUCAUUAGAGUUGAGUAAAAGAAAAUCACCCUUGUAGUUUGUAGUUUGCAAUUCACCAGAGUUUCGCCAAGUCGUGUAGUGGAACCCUAGUGGCUGGUUGGCGCUUAUAAACAGCACCUUAUUCCUAAUCCUGCCUAAAUAAGGCCAUCCAGAAAACUAGGAAACAAAAUAACAAAAUGAUAACCUUAAAUUACAAUCCUAAUCCAAUAUGCCCAAUCCUCUGCAAGCUCCAAGAAUGGCCUAACUCCAAAAAACGUCAUCUUCAAUUAAAUUAAAGAGCAGGAUGAAAUUUGAACUCAAGUGCAUAGAGAAAAACACUCGUAUACUUUUCCGUUAGUAUCAUAUAUAUUGCUAAAGAUUACAGAUUCAAUCCUCUCAUAGGCAGAUGGGCUAUGCCUCUAUUUUUCUCCAAUCAAUAGCAGAAAGUGAUUAUCUUACAAUUUCCCAAUGAAUUAUAAAUAGAAUGUAAACAUAUUUUGUGACCUUUCUGUAUCAAUUAGAGGAACAAAGAAAAUUGGAAAAGCUGAGGAAAACAAAAAAGUAACCUGAGCAAAUGCAACAAAAUUAUAAAUAAAACCAGUAGUAUCUUCAGCCCUGUGAAAUGCCGGGAUCAUAUUGCGCUAAUCUACAUUUCUAAAGCUCUCGCUCGUAUGCCAAAUCUUUUUCUGGAUAACAAACAGCACAUCAUCAUCCUGCUCGGUGCCUCCCUCUGCAUCAGCGGUAGCCACUGCUUCCCAGUGUAACGCCUUCAUAUAUUUGUUUAUGAACUCCACCACCUUUCGGUUAUCACGCACAAUGAUGAAACCUUGGGGCCUCAGGAUGCGAUCCAUCUCAAUUAACAAAUCAACACUGCUACAUCCUUUCCUUUCAAUAUCGGAGAAGAGGGUCCAAGCAUGAAGUAGAUCAUAAGUUCGUGGGUAGGUCGAGUAGGCUUCACACCUGUCACAAGUUGCACCACACAAAUAUAUCAAUAUUUGAUCAAUGUUACAAUGGCAAAGAAAAUUGGUAUCAUGUUUAUACAUCAUGCACUUAUGCCUAAUGCAAUCCAACGAAAGGUUCUCUCGUUCCUAAGAUUGAAAGUAAGCCUGAGAUCUUGCCUAGUAAUAUUUCAAGAGUAACAACAAAUCUAUACAUGGCAGCAUAACUAUGUAGGUGGGAAUUUCUCAUUCUAAAAACCAACUACCUCAACGGUUCAAGGUUCUACAAGUUUCUAAUUGAAAUUUUUCAUGGGCUAGUUCGCCUUACCAGCAGUGAGUAGUACCAUCCUCAUCGUCAUCUUUCUGUUUGUCCCAAUCAUACAGGGAGUGAAUAUCAAAAACAAAAGGCAUAUUAACUCAUAAAGAUUGUCCAACGUACCAAUUAUGUACUGAGCCUAUCAGUCCUCUGUCGUAUAUUAUUUUUAGUGUGUUAGGUCCGUCUUCGGGCACCACAUUCAUAACCCAAACAUCUUUGUUCUUCAAAGCCCCUGCAAAUGAACCCAAGUUUGCCUUCAUGUCCAUCACAUUCCUUAUUGUGUCGGAAUUAAUCUUUGGGCUCAAAAGAUUCCAGUAAUUUUCAACUCUUUGUUGCCAAACUUCCUGCAACACAUCAAUACUGUCAUACACCAAGUAUUUGUAUGUUGGUAAUGUUGGUAAUUUAUAUAUGUGAAUAUUACCAUGGCAGAGUAGGUAAAAAAGAUGUAGGUUUUUUGAGAAUUACCAUGUCUUUUUCAAAUAUGUCACUGGAAUAGCCGAAAUCACCAAGACGGGGUGGAAGCGUAGUCAAUCGAGCAGGCCAAGGAGCCAAACCACUUCCUCUUGCUCUAUGGUUUUCUGAAAAGAACACACCAACAAAAUGUAAAUGCUUUCUCAACUCUGCUAUUUAAACAACUAGAUACUGCAAAAGUAUCAGCAACCUAUAGUUCCGGGUGAGUCCAUUUUCUACAUUAGUAUUUCUCAAAUAACAAUGUAAUAGACCAAAAAAGGUUCUGGCUUGUUACUUCGAGACUUCUCAAGACAACUAACAAAGCACAGAAAUUAUAGAAAUCGUUUAGAAAAUGGAGGAAAUAGGACUCACGCUCAGAGUAUGGUGUGAUGCAAGCCUCCAUUUUCACGUUGUAGACAGCAUCUGGAUCAUCAUCUGAUCUGCAAAGGGGUGGUUGAGUACCAGGCGGUCUUUCCAUGUAACAAUCAUUAGUCAGCGGCUUGACCCAAAUAACAGUUUGGUUCUUUUUAGCAGCAAUUUUCCAGCACAUCCGUUCCACAAGGGCACUCAUAGCUUUCCAAAUUCUAAGAUCUUCUUCAUCCUGUGCGUAGGCUUCAGGAGAUGAGUAGGCAAAAUAACCUCCAGGUCUAAGUACUCUAUCUAACUCAAGGAGAAGUAUCCCAUCCCUUUGAAGCCAAUCAAUCCUACAGCGAGAACAAUGAGCCAGUUCGAAAGAUCUACUAGGGUAAGGGAGUCUCUUGGUCCCUAAAACACCAAGAUAUGCAGGAAUUCCUCUCUCCAAUGCAAACUGGAUCUGAUUUUGAUGAACAUCAUUAGGUGCCAAGGACAUUGAGAUAAUAUCAGAAGACAGCAGGUAUCCUCCAAAACUAGCAACACCACAACCAACAUCAAGGACUGUUCGGAGCCUUCCUCCAUUAUUUAAAAUGUUCUCAGGAAAGUUGAGCAUCUGCCAAUCCAAAUAAAAAAUAGUCAGUGUUUUAUCAUGAAAGAAAAUAUUACAGAUUUACUAAAUUUCUACUCACUAAUUCAAUUUUUUACCCUGUGAAGGGCCACUGUCUU